rnacentral:lncRNA from 1 species
GACGGUACACAUGCUUUUAAAUGAGGUCUCAUCUCUGAGUUAGAGUAAACUGUCAAGACUUAAAAUUUACUUACUUUACCUUUCACCAUGGGACUUGUAACCGUCACUUCUGUCUUGAGUGGUUAAAAGAUAGAACAAUCCAGUCAAGUGCCAUGUCGCUUAUUCUUGAUCAGCUAUAGCUCUGGAGUUUUUGCAGAUUUUCAAAUAAAACUCAGAGAUUCCUUGUAUGACUCUCUCAUAUCUCUCUUUUGUGGUAUUUCUAGAUCCUUACCAAGGCAGUGAUGGUAUAUGCCUUCUCUCAAAAUAUGUGGUAUUUGUGGUAUAAGGCAUAGUGACAUUGCCUUCUCUCUCACCCUACUCUAAUAAGGCUUUAAUAUCUGGAGCUCAUAGGUGGGAGAUAAAGUAUACAUACUUACAAGACAUUUAUUGUAUAGUCAAACCAUGGAUCCAAAGAAACAAAUCAAUAAGCCAAAUCAAGAUGUGCAUGUGUGGCGAAUGAAUGGUGUAUAGUGAUGAUGGUGAUAACAAUGGUGAAAGUCUAAUUCUACUUUUGCUCUUAUGAGGGGAUACAUACCUUCCUUGCUUUUUGAAACUUUAUGAGGAGAAUGAGAUGCUCUUCUUUUUUCUUUUCUCUCAGAUGGGUAUCCUGUACCCCUAAUUCUACUGUCGGACACUUGUCCAUUUUUACCUCUCGUCUCACUCUUUUUCUUUUCUUUCGAGGUUCCGGGCACUUGCCCCUUUUUAUUUCCUCAUUUAUUUAUUUUUUCUUUUCUUUUCUUUUUUAUUCUUUUUCUUUUUUUUCAGAGCACUCAUCUCCUGAAAUAAUGUAGCAAGUGGUAGUAACCAAAAUAACUGGAGCAUUUAUUUCACAGGGAAUAACAGGGAUAGGAAAAUGUUUUUGGCUAUUCUCUCCCGGAUUAGGAGUAGAAUGAUUUCGGGUGAAACUGGAGAUGGAAAUGGAUGGAUAUAUGUGGAUGGUACUUCCGGAGUAGAAGUAGCAUAUAUGAGUGAACGUGCAAGUGAAUCUUGAUUUAACCACAUGACAAGCUCCUAAGGGUCUACACAGCUUGACCACACUCAAUGCUCAUAAGCAGUAAAUUAAAUGUGUGGCUCAAAGUCUAGCAAGCAUGUAUAUAUGGCUGUGGUAGGAAUUUAAACUUUCAUCAUACAGGAACUCAUCAUGCAAUAUUUUAAAGAUUUUUCAAAAAUAAAAUUCUCCAGAAUUCUAGCAUCUCUAGGAAUAGAUAAACAGCAGCUCAACCUUCUCAUAUCAUAUCCGUUAACAACUUAGAUUUCAGAUCAAGUUUUCAUCCCACAAGUUUAGAUCUAGAGCAAGCUUUAAAUUAUAACAAUUAUGUCUAAACUUGAGAGAGAACUUUAAAUUUGCAAAUUAGGCAGAGCAACUAUUCAUCAUAUCCAUGCUAGAGUUUUAUUAUUAAGAUUCAUAGCAAACUUUAUUUAUUUAUUUAUUUAUUUAGCAAACUAAGAAAAGAUAUAUAUAUAUAUAAGCAUAAAAUCUUUAUUUGGUUUUUCAUAGUUUAUGUAUUUUAAUAUUCUACUAUAAUAUAAGUAUAAAGAUAGGUAGAAAUACUUAGCGAGAUAAAUAGGGGUGCUCUCCCCCAAGCUGAAUUUUGACGUAAUUUCUCUUGAUGUAGCUAGCAGGUGGCAGAGGUGUAUUUGAAAGUCAGCAGCAUUCUGACAGCGAUUAGAAUGUCCUCCGUCUGCUAGUCUUCUUGAUUCUUAAAUUCUGUGGAGCUCAAAUAGACAACAAAGCUUGUGGAACUAAUUAAGUGUUAGCAUAAAUAUCUAGCCUUCAUCACGUUGAGCUUCCUCAAUAAAUAUUACUCCCUGUUUUUAUAUUUUUAUUUUAUAAAGUAGAAAAGAAAUAUUUAUUUUAUUUUUAUGCCACCACAGUGAAGGUACUUAUGGGUUUUAUGCCACUCGUAUACUCACAUGGGGCUUAGUAUUUUUUUAACAUUUUAAUUUUCUUUUCAAGAUAGCAUGAUUAACUAAUAAUCUAUUUAAGAAAAGUAAAUAAUUAAAUGGAAAAGGGAAUGCAGAAAGGAUAAAUAUGGAUAACUACCAAUCUUACCUUUCGGCGAGGGUUCAAUGUUUUAAGUCUUCUUGUCAAGACUUCUCAUCGUGUUCAUUCUUCAUGUGCGUCAUUUGAUUCAGGUGCGGACCUUGACGUCUACACCUUUUAAUACGGUGUCACCCAUGUUCUUCGUUUGCCCAGCAGUUCGAAGUGCGGUGUUGGUAGUGUCCUGCUCAGUGUGUUUGUGCUCGUAGAUCCAGGUCCUUCACUUGGUAGAGUCUGAGAGUUAUAAAACUCCUCCGUGUUUUGCUCGAAGUGUACCUGCUUAUAGAGACAAGGCAGAGAUCAAGUGCAUGGGCCCUGUUGGUGGAAAACACCAACAGAACCAAAAGUGUAUUUGUUCUUCUCUAACCUUAAGCAUAGUGAGCAAGACAAGUUGAUGGAUGAUAAGUUCAUGAGUGUAGCACUUAUAACAUUUGUCAGAUCAGAUCGCUCAACCUUAUGGAAAGAUAAUCUAUCUAUGUAUAUGUCUUUUUCUUUAUAUCUCUCAAAGAUUGAGUGUGUAACAUUUUAGCUCAUAUGAUUAGGAGUGUGGGAUCAUAGAGGUAGUACUAAGAACAAGGAUUAAAGGACUAAACAUGUUGAAUCAGUUGGGUUGGUUAAUCUAGAGUUGUAAAUCAUACACAUUUGUCUCUUUUAUUUAUAUGAAUGCCAGAACCAAGGAGGAGCUUAUAAAAGUGUUAGUCAAAUAUCUUAAGAUGUUACCUUGCUCGAAGAGUGAUGGUACAGUAUCACCUUGUGGAAGCUUUCCUUUCUUAGCGGUUGUGCAUCGUGUUCGUGGCACCCUUCAUGGAUCAUCUCUCUAUGAUGAAUGAGCUAUGUCCUUCUUGUGCAAAUUGUUAAACUUCAUGUGUCACUCUCUUCGUCUCUGAUGUGAGUUUAUCUCAGGACUUCCCAAAUCGAUAUUGAAAGUUUUUCUGCAGGGGUUAGUCCGACAAAAAUAUACCAAUGUCUACACAAGCAGUUUUUAGUUCAAUAACUGAACUAGACUCCAUGUCUAAUCAGAUUAAGGAAGGUUGUUUAACCUAAGCACCAUGCUUAAUUUAAAAGCCAAUAGAAGUAUGUGCAGUACUUCCAAACUAACACUUACUAGUAAAUAGAGAAAGGUAGCAUGACAGCAUUUAUAGAGAUCUACUCAAGUGGAGAUGAAGUAGUGUGAUUAGUAUUUAACAAAUUGAGCAUGUCUCAAAGGUAGGGACAACCAGCAUAGCAACAUGGCAAAGGAUGUUUUUAUGUAAAGUACUCCCCCAAGCUUGAAUUUUGCAAAAUUCAAGUUUGGAUGAAUUUAAUUCAAUGUUGUAUGAUGAUUGGUUGGACAUACCUUGUGCUUGUCAUUCAUCCGAUCUUCUUGCUCCAAUCCUAGAAAGGUUAGUGACAAGAAUACCCGAAGGAAUAUUAUUUUACAAUUAUCCUUAUAUGCUCAAUACACAAAGUAAUGUUGCAAAUAAUUAAAGGCUCAUGUUACGAUCUGAUCAAUGCUUAUUUUAAGACACUAAGCUUGUCCUUGGAAAACCAUCAGUUUAUGUUGGCAAAGUGGUUUCCCCUCCGACGCCAACCUAUAUCUAGAUCAACUCAACGAGAUCUGCAAUAUUUAUUAUAGACAUAUGCAUCGACAACAGCCCUUUUAAAGAUUUUAUAAAUAGAAAGGAAGAGGGGGUUGGAGAUCUCAAGUGUGGUGAUGUCGGAGAGACCAAUAGAUUGGGAAAAUGUUGCAUAUGAGCAUGGAGUAAAAGAAGUGGCUAUGAAAUAAAUUUCAUGCUCAUUAAUGUUAUCUUCGUCUCUAAUCUGAAUGUUCGGAGUUUCUCCUGGAUUGGUCUCACCUAUGUCCUCUUCUGUAGUUGGAUGAAUCUCAUCUUCAAAGGGAGUCAAGAACUCACCAUUUGAAAUUGAGCCAAAGUCAGAACCUAUUAAGGCUUCUUCCUUAUCCAUCCAUUCUACACAUUCUAGCCAUUUAGAACUUGUGAUCAAAAUAGGGGAGGUGUUAGAAUUUUCUAUAUGGCUUAGCUCUCCUUCUAUGGCAUUACUUGACAUGCCAUCCUUAUGGUCUUCAUGACUCCUAUGGUUUGGUCGUCUUGGUGAAUUGCUAGGAUCAUCAUGAGACUGAAAAGAAGAGGGAUAAGAGGGAUCUCUAAGGUCAAGGAUGGAUUUAGAACUUGUGAACAUGGAAGGGGAGUAGAUAGAAUUGUCUAUAUGGCUUAGCUCUCCUUCACUUGAUAUGUCAUCCUCGACUUCUUCAUGAUAGGAACCAGGACAUUCUCUAAGAGAAACAUUAUUGCAAUGAUUUGAAUUAUCCCUGCUUGAAGGUCUCUUAUAGAACCAGAAGUCUAAACCAUCAGCAUCUAAAAGAUUUGAGGUCGGAAUUCCUUCCUCCCUUGGAGAAUUUUGGGGUAUUGACGGUUUAGGAUCGAUAGCUAAAGUUUGGGAUUGAAGUGGUUGUGAUCUGGCUAUCGAAACUUCUUCUUCUUGUCUAGGAACUGGUUCUUUCUCUUUCUCAGGGAUAUAAAAGCUAGGAGACUUUCCGCUCAUUAAAUCAAUCAAAUUCCAAGCUUCACUAGCGGAUAGGUGGUGGAAAGAUCCUCCAGAGGCCGCAUGAAGGGUUUGCUUAUUUUUCCUACUAAGGCCCUCAAAAAAGUGAAUUAGAAGAACUUCUUCUGGAAUAGAAAGUUUUGGGCCAGUGAGAGUAAGGUUAAUAAAGCGGUCCCAUGAUUUGCCAAGAGAUUCUUCUUCCAGUUGUCUAAAAGAAAGAAUCUCACGCCGAAGUUCCACCACUUUGGAGAUUGGAAAAUAUUUAGAAAGAAAACUACUAUAUAACUCCUUCCAAUCUCCAUGAACACUCCCUACUUUGAGUUUAUACCAAUGUCUAGCUUUUCCCGUUAAAGAGAACGGAAAGAGCUUCCAUUUAAGGGUCUCAUCGGACAUGCCUUCUAUGCGAAGGAGGUCACAGACUCGAUAAAACUCUCUUAGGUGUGUGUAUGGGUUUUCCUCACCUUCUCCUGAGAAAGGUUGUUUUUGAAUAAAUUGUAUGUAUUCGGGGUCUAUCUCAAAACUAGAUGCUAUGAUAGGCUUUGAAGAUUUUGGUGGUUCGAGAUGUGUGCCCAUAGGUCUAUGAAAUUCAUAGAUAGACAUGUUUGAAUUCAUAAUAGACCAGAGAUCAAGGAUUAGAUAAGAAGAAAGAAUAGCAGAGAUGAGGCAAAGGAUAAAAGGAAAAUAUUUUUUUAUUUAUUUAUUUUUUAUAAAAUGAUUAAACUAGUUCGUAGUCAACUCAGCAACCGUUUCCCCGGCAACGGCGCCAAAAAUGCUUGUUGACACUUGCUAACACCACUUGAAUACUAGGUUGUCAUCCCCAGCAUGGCACUAGAGUGUACUAUGGUAUUUAUACGCACACAGAUAAUCCGCAAGCGCACGGAUACCGUUGAAGCUUUUACCCGGUUAAAGGUUUUAUCGUAUCCACAGGGAAACGGGAGAACCAACUACGCUCUAACUUAACCAAGAUAGAUAGAUAGGUGUAAAUAGGAAAGAUGAUAGAAUCGAAUAAGAACAAUAUUAAAGGUAAGAUAACAGUGAGUGAUAAUAUGGGAAUAGAGAGUAGAGCAAUUCUAGUAUAUGGGCGAUGUAGCAGAAUAGAGAGGAUAACUAUGGUUUCUCUACUUCAAAGGGGUAUGUCUAUGUCUGGGACGAACCACGUGAUAAGAGUACACCACAAAGGAUGCUUAUCCAUAGGCCGAUAAACCCUACCCGUCCUGCUAACGAGAGGUGGACUACAGGGGACCAACGUAACUGUCACCUACGCGGCCUACCACACGAUCCAGCUAGUCAGGGGAUAUCCACAAGUAAUCUAGGUCUAAGCACCACGCUUACACCUAUACUACAACUCUAACCUAUAGGGUCCUAUAGAUUAGAAGUACUCAAAAGAGUUGUGAACCAGAACAUACAUGAUUAGUAAUUGCAUGAUGAAUUAGAAGUAGAUUACCAGAGUCAUCCCAUGAGCAAGCUUGAUUAGAGCUUGAUCAUGGCGAAGUACAACCAGAGGAAGAACCGACACGCCGGCCUCUCCUCUAAUCCUCCUUCGCUCUCCAUCUCGCUACUAUCUAGAUCUACUCUAGUUUAGAGAAGAGAGGAGAGCUCUCAUCUCUAAACCCUAGCUUUUGCUCUGUCUAUGAAUAAUGAAUAAUGAUCAAGGGGUGUCUCCUCCAGGGGCCAGGGGGUCUGGUUUUAUAGUCCCCUCAAGUGAACCUGGGCCGUCGGAUCAAACCGACAUUGAUUGAACGGUUAUUCUUGAUCCUUUAGGUCGGUGGAGCAUAAUCCGCGAGAUUGAGCGUGAUUGGCCACAGGAGGUGGGCGGGCGCCCAGUAGGACAGGGCGGGCGCCCUGUCUCUGGCCCCGAUUCGCCUCCGCUUUGGUCUCGUGGCUUCUGGAGUCUUCUAGAUGUAAGAUAAUUGCGCGGCACGUUAAUAUCUUUACGUAAUCCCGACGUGUGGGCCUUUCUUCCUUAUUUCCUGAUAACCCCCUGCAGAAAUAGACAAACACCAAAACUCGUGGAAUUCUGUCAGAUAAAACCCUAAGUCUUGAUGUUGAUUUCAUUUGGAUCCUUUUCUUUGUUUAUUUGAUAGUUAAAUUUGAUACUUAAGGACCGUCAACAUAGAGCACCUAGAUUCAGAGUUGAUUAGGAAGGAAUUGUUUGGCACAAGGACCGAUUGUGUGUGCCUGAUAUUCAGAGAAUCAAGGAUGUGAUACUGAAGGAGUGCCAUGAGUCUGCUUACUCUAUUCAUCCAGGAGGUACUAAGAUGUAACAGGACUUGAAGCAAAAUUAUUGGUGGCGUGGUAUGAAGAAAGAUAUUGGUGAAUAUGUAGCAUUGUGUGACACUUGUCAAAGAGUGAAAGCGGAACUUCAGAGGCCAGCAGGAUUGUUGCAACCGUUGAAGAUACAUGAGUGGAAAUGGGAUGAGAUCAGCAUGGAAAUCAUAGUGGGAUUGCCUAUGUCUCAACGAGGUUAUGACUCUAUAUGGGUUGUAGUAGAUCGAUUGACCAAGGUAGCUCAUUUCAUACUGGUCAAGACUACCUACCGUGGAGGACAGUUAGCAGAAAAGUAUAUGGAACGGAUUGUGUGUCUGCAUGGAGUUCCUAAGAGGAUUGUGUCUGAUAGAGGUACACAGUUUACUUCAAAGUUUUGGGAGAAGCUACAUGAUGCAAUGGGAACAGAACUCAGAUUCAGUACAGCUUAUCACCCACAGUUCGAUGGUCAGACAGAGAUAGUCAACCAAAUAGUGGAGGAUAUGCUCAGGUCUUGUGCUUUGCAGUAUGGAGAUAGUUGGGAUACUAGUUUGCCCUAUGCUGAAUUCUCCUACAACAACAGUUAUCAGACUAGUCUUAAGAUGACUCAUUUUGAAGCCUUGUAUGGAAGGAAGUGUAGGACUCCAUUGUUCUGGAACCAGACUGGUGAAAGGCAAGUAUUCGGCGCUGAUUCAUUGAGAAUAGCUGAAGAAAAGGUUCAGUUCAUCCGACAGACUCUGAAAGCAGCUCAGUCGAGACGAAGGGAACUUGUGUUUCAGGCAGGUGAUUAUGUAUACCUGAAAGUGUCUCCGAUGAGAGGUCUAAAGAGGUUCAAUGUCAAGGAAAAGCUAGCUCCAAGAUAUUUUGGUCCUUUCAAGAUUUUGGAAAGGAAAGGAGAGAUGGCUUAUCAGCUUGAGUUGCCUGCUAGUUUAUCCAAUGUGCACAAUGUUUUCCAUGUCUCCCAAUUCAAGAAAUGCUUGAGAGUGCCUGAGGAACAGUUGCCACUAGAGGAACUGGAUUUACAGGAUGAUCUAACUUAUGAAGAGAGUCCUAUCAAAGUUCUAGAAACAGCAGAGAGAAUUACCACGAGUAAAACUAUCACGAUGUGUAAAGUACAAUGGAAACAUCAUUCUAAGGAAGAGGCAACCUGAGAAAGAGAAGAUGAUAUGAUAUCCAAAUACCCUCAGUUAUUCUCUGGUUCAGCCUAAUCUUGAGGACGAGAUUCUUUUAAGUGGGUAGGUUUAUAACACUCCAAAAUUUGAAUUUCAAAUUUUUGUUUAAAUUUGAUUUAAUUUUGGCUUAGUUUGAAUUUUUGGGAAGUAUUAAAUAAUUUACAAAAAUAAAUAAAACGAAAUAUAAGGUAGAAACAGGCUUGUGUGCAUUCAUGCUGCUGCAUAAUUUUUGCUUGAUUUUAAUUAUUUGCUGGUGCUUGAGUUAUUUUGUUUGGCAGCAAGAAAAGAAAAUAGGAAAACCUGUUUUGAAUAAAAAAAGGAAAAGAAAAGGGCAGCGCCCUGGGCCGUCCUCCCUCUUCCCCCGCCUUCUGCCCGCGUGGGCCAGCAGCCCAGCCAGCGCGCGCAAGCCCCCCCCCAGCCCGCAACGCGCCCCCGCUCGCCCCUGCCCUUUGCCGCCGCCACCCGCUGACGGGUGGGCCCCACCCGUCAGGGCCACCCCCAACCUCCCGUCCGAAACAGACGGGGCAGCCGCCUCUGCCUCGGCUUCCGAGAGCCCGCGCCCCGAGGUUCGCCUCUGGCCAUAAAUAGGCCUCAGCCUCGCCCGCACGCGUCCCUAGAAACCCUAGCCGCCGCGAAACCCUAGCCUGGCUCCCAUCUUGCCGAGUUCACGCCACCGCCAUCAACCUCGCCGCCGCCGCCGUCGGGCUUCUCUUCGCCGUCGUCGACUCGCGGAGGUGAGCCCUCCAUCGCGUUCGUCUCGCCGAGCCGCGUCCGCCCCGACCCUCGGAACGCGUUUUCGUGCACUGUAGCGCUGCCGCCGGGAGCUCCCAGUCCCCGCCCAUGGCGCCACUGCUCGCCGCGCCGCCCGACCACCUCGCCCGCUCCGGCGCACGGCCACCAUGGACCGCGGCUCUGCCCCCGCGCGGCCGGUCAACCAUGGACCCGGCCCAUGCCGCACCCGCGCCCCGCUCAGCCUCGGCCCCGGUCCACCAUGAACCGGUGGACCCCGCGCCCCCUCGGUCCACAGCACACCACCGUGGACCGGCCAACCGCCCGCUGCCACGUGGCCAGACCGGCCACCGCCCCGUGAGCCCCUGCACUUUUUGCGAAAAGGCCCCUGGGUUUCUUCAAAAUCAACCCGCGGUCCUGCGCAGUUUUAAUUCAUUUAAUUUUAGCCCCUGGUUUUUGCAGAAAAAACCCCGUAGCCGUUGGUUUUUAUAGUUUUAAUCCAAAAUGCUUUUUAAUUCAGUUUUAAUUAAUUUCAUUUACGAAAAAAAGUUUAGCUAAUCUACAGAAUUGCCAUCCAACUUGUUUUAGCCAUAACUUUUGCGUCGUAACUCCGAUUUAGGUGAUUCUGGUCGCUAUAGUUUCGUAUCGUCGAGUAGAAUACAUUAGUACAAUUGUUUUAUGCUUUUGAAUGCUUUGGUGUACUGUUUCUGAUUAAGCUUGUUUGCUUGCAUGUAUUGCUUCGUUUGCUUGAAGAUUGUCGCGUAUAGCCAACGAGACGUACGUGAAGGAAGAGGAUCAGGAUCCCGCUGAGUUCGAGCAACCCGACAACGAUCAAGGCAAGUGCAGACACCGUUUGAUCAUUUUGAACCUACUCAUUAAUGUCAUUUACUUUAUAUGCAUGUGUCCAAUGAAUGCAAACCCUAAGGACAUGACUAGCCUUACUUACCACUCCUUGUUCACCUAGGGUUAUGUAUAUGGGUAUACUAGGUUAUAUUAGGUUCGCUUAGCUGCUCUACUCAUCUUAUACACAUGCCUAAACAAGUAAUAAUCUCUACUUAACUUGAUGCUUAAACUGUGCUGAACCUUUGGUCACCGCGGUGAUGGCGAAGUUGGAUGCUUACGAGCAUCGUGAUGAUGGUGGUGACAGGGGGAGCGGCUACUGUUGGUGGUCCGGUUUGCCGGGCGUACCCGUCUCUGCUCUCCGUAAGGACUUAGUCAGGGAGCGGCCCCCUGGGACAUAGCUAUAUGGCUCUGGCUUGACUAAUUAGCAGGACCUCCACUAGUAGGGUGUUACUUUCCGGGUAGGCGUGAGGAAGUAACUUGGGUAAUGUAUAUUAAGACAUCGAUUGCUCGGUACGCCAUGGCUAUGGGUAUCGACUGUCUGGUGCCCCGGCAAAAACUUGCGAGUGGCAUCCUAUUAGUUGGACCUUGCUCACCAUGGCAGUGUUUUGGGGAGUCAUGACCCCGGGUAAAUGGGAAUCACGACUUGGAGUGAACGUGCACACCUCUGUAGAGUGUAAAACUGAUAUAUCAGCCGUGCUCACGGUCACGAGCGGCCCAUACCCUCACUUGAUGAGCAAAUUGGAUUCACUGGAUACUUGGAGAUGGAACUUGGUGAGGUUGCUACCUUGUGUUUUGGCGGAAUGGCUAUUCCGUGUUGGCAGGAUUGCCAUCCUGUGUUAAUAAUUGGGGUUAAUCCCUGGACUACUAUAAUUAUUAGGAUAGUCAUUUAAAAGAUGCUAAUUAGUACUUACACUAAUAAAGGGUUGGGUUUAUGCUACUCAUAAUUAGUAGUAGGUUGUUCUAAUAAUAGUCAUAAUUAAAAGUGAUCAACUAAAAUGCUACCGCAGUCAAACCAAGUCAGCUUUACCUUGUUUUAAGCCUUGCAUGUCAUUACUUUCCGUUUGUGCUUGCUGAGUUCGACAUGAGCUCACCCUUGCUAUAAUAAUUAAAGGUUGCUCGGACGAUCAGGAGUACAAUUGCGAUUUCCCUGAGGACUACCCUGAGUCGCCUGGUUGUUAGGCUCGUGUGGUUCUGUCGUCGACCUUCCUGUGGCAAGGUGGUCCUGCUACGUCGGCGUCUAGUUUCCCUUUUCUUUAUGGAACAAUUUAGCUUAUGCUUCCCUUUCGCACUUUGAUAUACUUUUGGCUUGUAAUAAUGGUACUAUUACUCUCAUUUAUGUAAUACGUUUGAACACUGUGUUUUGUACCAUUGAUGAUGUCGAUCCAUGUGUGUGAAUUUGAGAUCCUCGCGCACAUGUGACUUGGCACCCGAAUGCUCUUUUACAUCCGGGUGUGACAGCAGUGGGCGACAAAGUGGUCGGGAUCUCUAUAGUUGUAGCACCCCACCUUUUGAUCACCGCCCCGGUGACGAUUCAAGCAGUUGUUGUGAAACUACGAGAAUUGGCCAAUGAUCAAUGCCAACUCGUCAUCCCCAAGGGCCUCCAACUGCUCCUCCAGGACAGACACCAAAGAAGACAAGGCAAAUGACAUCUAUGAAGGGUUUGCUGAAGAAUUUGAAUCGUUACCUAAGACCAAAUGCAUAGUCAGUGCGGAGGGAAUCUUGAGCUUGGCUUGGGUCUGGUAGUCGAUCUCGGUGGACUUAAGCGUGCUGAAAAGCUCGUCCAUGGUGAUGGUGUCAUAGUUUGAGGACUUGAUGAUGGCGGACACCUUCACAUAUCAUACCUUCCAAUCUAGAGCAUAUAAAAGCUUGAGAGCCCUCUCAUGAUCGUCAUAAGGUCACUAAGUCUUGUUUGCUUGCAUCUUGUUAAUGAUCGUCUAAAAGCGAGAAAUGGCAUCAAUGGACUCGCCAUUAAGUUGAGUGAAGUUCUCGUACUCUCUCUUGUACGUCUCAUAGAGUCUGGUUUUGACAUGGGUUGUACCCUUGUGAUAGCUCUGAAACCUCACCCAGAUCUCUCGAGCAGUAGUACAAUUAAAGAUACACUCGAACUUAGGAAGCGAAAGACAUGACAAAAGAAUAGCUCUUGCUCUGCUAUUCAUGUUGUGACGAUCUUUUUGAUCUUGCAUGACUCGAGUAUGGGGUUCAAGCACAACAUAGGUAGCAUCGUCGCAAUUUUCCCAAAUAAGAUAGUCAAUCCCCUAGAGAUGCGCAGAAUUUGUUCCAUCAAAGAACGAUGGAUUGCCGGAACCACACUCCAUAUCGCCUUCGUGGAUCACGGACCGAUUAAGGUGGAAUGAUCCUUAACCAGCUCUGAUACCAAUUGAAGGACAAAAAAUGGUGACCAGAGAUGGGGUCAAUGGGAGCCGUAGUUUUUUUCCAAAAUAUUUUUAGCCACUGUCUCAAAUCACCACUAAACACAAGCGAGUACCCAAAACUAAAUUACUCAAGCCAACUAAUGAAAAAGCACUUAGAUAAAAUGCUCACAACGGUAGAAGAUCAACGCAACAGACGAAACACGAAUUAGAGCACAAACGACUAAGUUGUGGACGAAACAAGAAAUCAGAGCCUAAAAAAUGGACAAAAAAGCCUUAAAAAUUCAAGCUUGAAGAGCACAAAUAAGCACAAGACUGCAAACAUGUAUUGACACACACACUGUAAUCAACAACUGAGCAAACACUACUAAGCCAAAGAUUGCUUGAAUGAAACAAGUCCAAAAGCUUAGGAUUUAGUUCACUUGAGUUGCUGCUCCUGCUCUUGGUGCUCUGUAGGCACAAGCUCCUGGACUAGCACCUAGGGAUGUAAACGGAUCGGAUACAGAUGGAUAUUACUGAUAACAUAUUUGUUUUUAUAUUCCUGGUCGGCGAAUGCGGAUAAUGUCAACCAUGUCGGAUAAGGUAGGAUUAGAUGUCGACAUCAUAAAUAUACAAUUUAAAUAUUCGGAUAAGGAUACAGUAUCAGAUGUUGAAUAUUCGGAUUCAGAUACGAACAAAUCUAAAUGCCUGUAAAAGAAUUCGUACCGUUUUCAUCCCUGCUAGCACCGAUUGGUGCUCGGAGAGCGUUGGUGCUGAGCACCUGCUGCUGGGAGCUGAGCGUCCCCUGCAGUGCACACGGACCGAGAACAAGGGAAGGCACGGACGUGGGUCUGCACACGAUGAACAAACAAGAACGGGUGGAGAGAAACAGGGUCUGCUCACCGCCGGGAGCGCUUCGGCGCUGGUGACACAGAAAGAUCAGGCGAACGGCAGAAAGAUCAAGGAAAGGAAACAGGGAGCGGAUGUAGCUGCUUGGCCCAUAGUCAAAUCCCACUCUGAGUCAGCUCGCACAGCGCCUAAGCAACAGGGUUGUAGCGCUACCGCUGGUCUCGGCUCGAUGUGAAAAACGCAUGAACAGAGCACGAGGACCAGCGAGCACCAGAAAAGGAUAAAAAAUCUCAACGAGAUGCUCCCAAAUCAAAAUCGAUCAAAAACUCAACGAGAUGCUCCCAAACUUUGCACAGGUGAAAUUCAUCAGACCACAAAUCUAGUCCUUAAAAAUCAUUGCACGGGACAGCUCCGAACCUUGGAAAUCAGGAUCUUAACCAAGACCAAAAAGGGGGAAAAACUCAAGAACGCAGUGAACAAAAAUCAAAGAUUCAAUUGAAAAAACUUGGAGUACAAGUGGAGGAUUCGGGCCUCCAUUCUCACUCCAAAAUCACAUAAAAAAUACCACGAAUUUUUUUAGUUUAUGAGACCUCUCUAGAACACAUAAAACCUAACCCUAGGUGAAAGGGAGGGAAUGAGAGAAUGGAAGAGGUGAGAUGGCUUAGGGCUGCCACCUCUUAUUUAUGGGCCUAUUACAUAUUCUCUAUUUUCACUUGGUAAUUUAAAGCGAACCAGCUAGCCACAAGGCAUUCUAGUCAAACCUGACAUAGUUUUCAUCUGCCGGCCACCACGCUCUUCAUGAGGUAGCUUCGCAUCGACACAAACUCUUACAUGCCACCACGUGUUGUCCAUUCUUCCGCAGAACCUCUGCCCGGGUUUUGAGGCCCGAACCUGCGAAACCCGCCAUCGAUGGUUUUGAUGCCCAAACCACCAAACCGGACGCGAGUAGCGUACUUCAUACGCGUCCCCCAGCUCGACACGUGUCACCGCCGUCCUCGACCGGCCGGCCCACCAAGUCUUCCUGAGCCUCGCUCGACUCGCACAUCUGUCGUCUUGACUUAGUCAACACGGUCACUCACAUGUACACUUGCAUUUAUCUAUGUCUCAUAUGUCAGCCACUACGGCUGGUCACCCGGCCUCCUGGUCCGUCAGUCCAAACCUCAAGUCCGCCCUUCACCGCUCCGGGUCCAUCGGCACGGCAUUUCUCUACUUGACCUUCACCUCACCGUUGACCAUCGCCUCUGACCUCAACACCUGGACACCACAAGACAAGAGACAUGUUGCACACCCAACUCACGCCAUGGUUAGGUAACACACUCAACCUCGGUUGUGGAUCACUUUAUUAAUCACUCAUCACAAAUCGAACCAUAAGAGCACAUUUUUAACCUGGUAUUCACACAAUGCUUCCUCAAGUGAAUAUGAUGAUGAAAAGACACCUUCCAAAUCACUUCGCUAUCAACAAGAAGCCCUCUCUAUUUGACACUAUCGCACAUAUUCACCACGAUUACCUAGCAUCUAUUCACUAGGGUCACCACAGGAACAUGUGCUUGCUAGGUGCCUCUCGACCCUCCAUAUGAAAUUAGUGUUUACGUUACCUACUAAUUAGGGCAUCCAGAGUGUGGAAAUUUGAUCGGCUUUAAAAACAAUGCCACAUUUUUUACUUCACCGUUAAAUGUCACAGGAUUGAGUUUAGGCGCAAAAAGCGUGUGCUGAGUCUCAAGCUUGAGACCCAACAUUACCAAACAAUUAACAAAAAAACUGAGCCACUAGACUGCAAUGCAAGCAAGUGGUUGCUGCCGUCUACAUGCCCCACGAGGGCCGAGAAGAGAGGGAACACGGAACAAGCAGAUGAUUGACAGCGACAAGAACCACACACCUUCCUGAUGCCCUUAACCUUUAGAGAACAGGCUGGGAUGGGGCAUUCAGUACUGUAAUUGGCUAAUUUCGAAACUUUGCAAUAUGCAAUUGAGAACACAUUCUGUUUCGUAGUGUCAACUCUCCUUUUCGUGACCGAGGUUCAGAAAACGUGGAGCUCAUAGCCACGUCGUUUAGUUUUUACUUACAGGCUUCCCCAAUGUCAACCGCUACAAUCCUAGCCCCAGGGAAUCGAACAGCAUGCAACCAUCCCACAUCACAUACAAUUCCCACAAAUAGAAACUAUAUAUUUGGCCAUGAUUACCACUUGAUCACUAGAAAUUACGGCCUGCCUGAUUAAUUUCUGGAGCAAAUCAAUGCAAGGCCACCGUAACCAGCAUUCAAGCUUUACUUACAGGCUUCCCCCGUAAUUAGAUAAAUACUCCAUAUAUUAUAACAUUAAGUUGCAAAGAGAAACACCAAAAGUGCUUGCCACGGCGUAACUGUUUUUCCAUGUCAACAGCUCACAGCUACUUCCUGCAUCUUAAGGGACAAGGUUUCCUAGCCCCAUCACUCCAGCCUCCUGCACAUUCUGCGAUUUCUGCAACAAGUACACAGUUUCAGAUUACAUAUAUAGAAAAAGUCGUCAGGGCUUCUUUAUGUGUUUCUCUAGAAAAAAGAAAAACAAUUCAAUUUCUACUAGGCUGCAAGCUGCAUUGACACAGUAUGUCAGCACAGUUCGCUCAAAGUUACUACCAACAAUCACCGAGUUCAUCCUAAUAUAAAGCAAACCAAUGGUUGUAGUAUUUGCUUGUAAGUUCCGACGCUAAUAAAAUUCAAAGAGUGAAAAUGAACUGUGGGCCCCUAAACUUUUCCCAUAUUCACAUAUGGGUCCAAAACUCUCAAAUUGAUUAUCUAGGGCCUUCAAUUUUUCAAGUGGUUCAUUCAAAGUGGGAACUUAGGUACAUGACUGGAGCUAGAGUGAACUUAGAAUGAACUAUUUGGAAAGUUCAAAUGAACCUAGAUGAGCAUAUUGGAAAAGUUUAAGGACUCAACCGUGCAUUUGACUGAAAUUCAAAUAUUACUAUGAUGGCUAUACAAGAAUAUGCAAAACAAACAUACUCCCGCAUUUCAUGGGAAGUAAUUCGGUGUACAUAUAAUAUAGGGUAAUGAUCCGAUAAUAUGCACAACAAAAACAUUUUUUUGCUUUAUUUCAUAAAAAAACACUUCAAUACUAAGUCACCGGAGUCCAUGAAUUUAUAAACAAAUCAUUAACACUCAUUAUCAAGAAUAUCAGUAUAGUUGGUUUAAGGUUAAAAGCAAACUAUUAGACAGGGUCCCAACAACCUAAUUCUGUAUUUCAACAUACUCUCCUAUACUCUUGCUCUAACCCUCCAUUGUUGAUCAGCCUAGAAACCCUUGCUGUUCUCAUGGACAGAGUUGUCCCAAGGGAAAAUGAAACCAUAAGAAAAAAAUGAUCAAAUAUAGAUUUUUCUAGAGCAAAGGAGUGUACCAACCCAGGUCCAAUUACUGAAUGCUGCUUUUCCCUUUUAUCACUUGAUUUUUAUUUUUAUUUUUGGCCACUGCAUAGGUUUUAGGCCCAUGUUUAAAUUAGAGAAAACAGUAGCCAAUGGGGAAAAAGAAGAAUGAAAAAUAGAUAAGAAAUUAUCCAAGAACACCAAUGAUAAAAAGGAAAACUUCCCAGCUUCAAAAUGAAAGCAAAAUACAGCAUCAGGUUAACCCAUCCGUAGAGAAAAAAGGCACAUUGCCAGGCUAGGCUCCAAAGAAUACUAGGGCAGUACAAAGCACUGCAUAAACACACACCCCCCCCCCCCCCACCCACACACCUAAUGGCCUUUGGCAAGGAUAUCCCAGAACCACCAUAUAUAGAAAACUGGUUUGCCCUCAUGGCAGUAAAAUGAGGAAUGCAAAACAUCAAAACAGCUCAAGUAGAAAUGACAAUGGAAUUAUCAAAGCAAGUUCCUCUACCGAUACUCACGUAGCCAUGUCUGCCAGUAAAGCUCUAAUACAGAUUGCAUUGUAUACAUAUGGAAUAAGUAGGACACAUCUCAACAUAUUUCAAUUUCAAUAUAGAUCGUGGGUUUAACUAUCUAGACUUGCACGCACAUUUCCGAUCUCGAGAAGAGCUAAGUAACACUUCUAUAAAGUUCCUAGUUCUUUCCUAUUGGAAUACUUAAGCAAACAACUGCUCCCUCCAUCCUGAAAUAUAAGGUUUCGAAUCAUUCAAAAUUUGCCUCAAAUUACAAGGGAUUCUAGUGAAUUUAACUCUCCUAGGCACCAGUUACAUGCCUACCAACCAUUAAUGUCUGUUGUCAACCCAACCACCAAGCUCGAAAUAUGGUAAGCACAGUAUCUCCCUACUCUUAAAGAAGUUAAAUGCUUCAUCUACUUUACCCAUAAAAUGUCUUAGAAUCCUAGGAUACCUUAUACUUCAGGACAGAGGGAGUAUAUAAGGAUUAUGAAGAGGAUCAGCAUUAAAUUUUACUGUAACUGCAAUGCUUGUGUUACUGCCACAAUUGACAUCACACAAAGAGAAAUAAAAGCUUACAGCAUAAUGUAGCUCAUAAGUAAUGGAUAGCCCCUUGUGGGAGACUCCUACCUGAAUUGACGGUAACUCAAAACAGACAUAAUUCCAAUAAUCAACUAACUUGUGAUCUUUUGGAACCACUUCAUUAGCCCUUCCAGCACAAAAGAUAGCGUAAGCAUCAGCCGCAUACCUAGAGUAAGAGGCAACAUUCAAAUUAAUGACUCGACAGGGCAAAAAACAGCAUUCUACGAAUAGUCCACAUACACAGAAAAGUUUAGUGGGGGUGGGGGUAGGAGGGGGGGCCACUCACUUGCCAACACCACAAAGCUCAGUGAUAUAGGUCCAUUCUUCUCCAACAUAAGCCUUAGAGAAUUUCUGGAUUCUCUUUGUUUUCACACGCUGAAAUCCAAGAGGUGCUAGAUACUCUGCCAUCUUUUUGGGAUCAGCUCUAUAUGCAGUCUGAGGAUCAGGAUAGCGCUCGAAGAAGCCAUUCACUUUCUUCUCGACCUGCAGCAGUAAACAAAGAAAAUUCAACCCUUAAACCCAAAGAAUGAAUGUUCCACCAGAGCAACAGCAAACACGGGAAUAGCCUUGGUAAUGAUAAAUGCAAAUGCGAAACAAGCAUAAGCAUCAGGGUAAUAAAUAGUCUUCGUAAAAAUAAACAAAUGUGAAACGCCUACCUGAGCCAGUGUUACACUUAAAAUGCAAAACAAACUAGCCUGUUUCAGGGCUGUAGUAUAAUAAUCCAUAGAGGAUUGGACCCAAACAUGCAUGAACAACGUAUCUAUAACAAGUGGUCCACUGUUCAAAUUUGUUUGUCAAUCCUAUGCGCACUGUGCAAACAUAUAAUCGAUCAUCUUGUAUCAAAGAAAGAAGUAGACACAGACAACCAUUAUUAAACCACUCAAUUAUCAUGGAAAUAAAAGGUAAGUUAGUCUCUUUCUCUUUGACAAUCAUGAAAACUGUUCUGAUGAAUCAAGCAGCCGACUAUGAAUCUAGAUAAUUGUUUGGUCAAGUAACAUUCACAGAGAUGACACAAAGUAGAAAGAAUUGAACAGCUCACCUGUUUUCCCUGUGUUAAGUUGAGGAGCAUGCAUAUUACAAUGACCUUCCAGGGGUCAGAAGCAUAAUUCUCCUGCAAUAGCUUAUGGGGGGAGCACGGUGGGGGCACCAGCUGAUCCAGCGGCAGGCGACGGUAUUUAUCGGAACGCUUCUCGGCAGCACUAAGUAAUGGCGAUUUCCGCCUUGGCUUUUUCUCCAUUGUCAUCAUCUUCUCAGGCUUCUCGAUCCCUUUGACCCUUAUCCCUUCUUGUGACCCUGAGGUUGAUGCUGAGGCUGGGCAUGGUUGCAUAGUGUUCGAGGUUGUUGUCCUAGCAGCCUUGGAGGACUCUUUUGCAGUAAGCAGAGAAGACCUAGAUGACGGGUGGCCUCGAGGAGGCAGCCUCGCUGGGCGAUCAGCGGUAUUAGGAAGUGGCAGACCACUGCCAUCUUUCCGGCGAUCAGGUUUGUAGGCGAAUUGGGCAAAGAAUGCACCAAAAGGUGAGGAAUAAUUGGGGUCCUGAUCAGUGAAAUUGGGAUCGGCCAUGGGAGGGAAAAAGCCUUGGGGCAGUGGCUGCUGCUUCUUCAAGACCUGGGACUUCUUGCUGCUGCUCCUCUUAACACACUGACUGCCCAUGAUGCCGCCAGCAGCAGCAGCUUCCUCCCCUGCCUGUGGAUGGACAUCAAUGGGAAGUGGUAGCUGGCCAAAUUGCUCGUGCUCCACCUUCGGCUGCCUAUGCUUCUUCCUCAACGUCACCCCCUCUGCCGUCACCUUGCUUUCCCUCUGCAAGAUUUGGGCCAUAGCAGCAGUGGGCGGUGAUGGAAUCACCACUGCAGCCUCCCCAUUCUUCCUUUUCUUGUGCUUCUUUUCCUCCUUCCACACAGGCUCCUCCAUUAAUGGAGAUGCCGGCAGCGCCUCCUGAUUCUUCCUCUCACGUUCCUUAACCCCCACUAUCAUCUCCACCGAGGUUAGGGUUUCAGGAGUGACUGGGACCGGGGAAUCAGACAUGUAUUCUGGGUUUGCCAGAGGACAGGGAGAAUCCCUCAACGCUAUCUCCCUUGUCAUCUUAACCUUGGGCUUUUCCUUCUGUUUGAUCCUUACCUCUUCUUGUGAACCUGAGGUUGAUGCUGAGGCUGGGCAUGGUUGCUUGGUGUUCGAGGUGGUUGUCCUAGCAGCCUUGGAGGUCACUUUUGCAGUGAGCAGAGAAGACCCAGGUGAUGGGUGGCCUUGAGGAGGCAGCCUCGCAGCGCGAUCAACAGUAUUAGGAAGUGGCGGACCACUGCCAUCUUUCCGGCGAUCAGGUUUGUAGGCGAAUUGGGCAAAGAAUGCACCAAAAGGUGAGGAAUAAUUGGGGUCCUGAUCAGUGAAAUUGGGAUCAGCCGUGGGAGGAAAAAAGCCUUGGGGCAGUGGCUGCUGCUUCUUCAAGACCUGGGACUUCUUGCUGCUGCUCCUCUUGACACACUGACUGCCCAUGAUGCCACCACAAGCAGCAGCAGCUUCUUCCCCUGCCUGUGGAUGGACAUCAACAGGAAAUGGUGGCUGCCUGGAUUGCUCGUGCUCCACCAUCCGCCGUCUCUGCUUCUUCCUCACCGCCGCCAUCACCUUGCUUUCCAUCUGCAAGUUUUGGGCCGCAGCAGGAGUGGGCGUCGAUGGAAUCACCACUGCAGCCUCCCCAUGUUUCCUUUUCUUGCGCCUCUUUUCCUCCUUGCCCACGGACUCCUCCAUUAAUGGACAUGCCGGCGGUGCCACCUGAUUCUUCCUCUCGCGCUCCUUAACCAGACUCACUGCAGCCGCCGCCACCAUCACCACCGAGGUUAGGCUUUCGGUAGCGACUGGUACCGGGGACUCGGACUUGGAUUCCGGGUUUGCAGGAGGUCGGGGAGACUCCCCCGCCGCCGCCAUCCCAGCCGAUGCUAGGGUUUCGGGAGCGACUGGGACUGUGGACUCGCGCUUGGAUUCCGGUGUUGUCGGAGGUCGAGGAGCCUUCCAGGAAGCCGCUAUUGCCUCCUCCUGCUCCCUGUGCUUCUUCCUCCUCCGCUUCUUCUGCCGUGACGCCUCCAAAUCCUCUGCCGGCGCCGACAUAGCGCACGGCGGCGAUAACGACCAGGCGGGGGAUCGAGACGGGGACCGCCUCGGCACUCGCACUACACCACAGCCUCAGAAUAGCGGCAGUGUUGGGCGGUGCCGGAGAAGUUGAGCGGCGGCGGCGGAGUUGGAUGGUGGAGUUGGGCGGGCGUGCGCAGAGAGGAGGCCGCGGGACCUGCGACGGACCGGCUGGGCAGGCAGCCGCAGUGGGGAGGCGGCGGGACCUGCGAUGGAUCCGGGCGGGCGGGCGCAGAGAGCAGGCGGCGGCGGCAACAACUGAGCUCAGGCCGGCUGAAGACAAAGGGGCAGGGAGUUCGAUACAACAAAGACAAAAAUACCCUGCGAUUCCUUGCUCACGUCUGUUGAGAGUGCGCGCAAACAGGAACGGCAGCGCGCCAAAAGAUUAGCAGCUCGCGCCAAAAGAUUAGCAGCUCGCGCCAAAAGAUUAGCAGCUCGCGCCAAAAAUCCAUGGCAGCGCAGGUUUCGGUUGUCGUGGAUUCAGGUUUGAGAAUGAUUUUUCCUUUUCAGGUUCGGAGCCCCAAAACUAUUGCGUUCGGUUUCACGUUUGAGUUUUUAUCAGAUGGAUAUCCGAAAUAAGUCAUUAGAAUUAAAUUUUAUAUUUUAUAAUAUGAUAAUAAUAACUUGUUUACUUAGAUUAUUAAUUUAUUUUAAGCUAACACAUGAAAAUAUUUUUUUAUUACCUCUUAUUUAUACAUGUAAAUAUGUGUAUAUAUAUCAUGAAUAUGUUUAUAAAAAGUCUUUAUUGUUAUUAGGCCCUGUUUAGAUUUGAGAUGAAAAUUUUUUAGGUGUCACAUUGGAUGUGUCGGAAGGACGUCGGGAGAGGUUUUUAGAAACUAAUAAAAAACAAAUUACAUAGCUCAUCUGGAAACUGAAAGACAAAUCUAUUAAGCAUAAUUAAUCUGUCAUUAGCACAUGUGGGUUACUGUAGCACUUAAGGCUAAUCAUAGACUAACUAGGCUUAAAAGAUUCGUCUUGCGAUUUUCAACCAAACUGUGUAAUUGGUUUAUUUUUUUAUCUACAUUUAAUGUUACAUGCAUGUGUCUAAAGAUUCGAUGGAAUGAAUGGACUUUUUUUAGAUGGGGAACUAAACAGGGCCUUAUUAUGUUGAUGUAGAAAGCGGGUUUUAGGUAUCCAUUCGGGUUUCGCAUAUCCGCGGGUUUGGUUUUGGGAUGGGUUAUCACCCGAAUCGGUGUUCGGUGCGGUUUCGGGUUUUGAUUUCGGAUUUCGGGUUCGGGUGUAUAGAGACUUCAUCUGAUCCGAAUUCGCCCCGUUGCCAUCCUUACUCCCACUCCUGCAACAAGUCCUCAUAAAGCUCCACAAAAGCAGUAAUAAGAACGUUGUGUUCUUGAUCUCUUUGGUUGAGGAAAUCCACCAAUUGCCGACAAUCUAAUAAGAACGUUGUGUUGUUGAAGUUGAGAUUGUCAUUCACCAUGGCAGCAAGGGCUAAGGCAGCCGCUUCUGCCAUGAGUACCGAUUGAACUCUUGAUACCUGCGCUUUGAUGUAUAUGGUUUGCACCGGUUGUACCUGCGUGUUAAAAAAGAGGAUUCCCAGACCAGCCAUCCUUGGCUGUAAAGAUGAGUCAUGAGGAAUUGUAGAUGCAUGAACAUAGCAUCUGACUCUCUUGGGAAGUGUCGCCGGCACCGUGUACCUAUAUAACUACAAGUUGAUAUGCUCUUGGGAGUGAUUGUUGGUCUGGUUCAUGCCUGUUGCAAAAGUUGUCAUACCUGAAAAUAUUUGGUUGGAGUCCUGUUGGGUAGGCGGCGUUGUUCGUGUUAGAGAGCCUCCAGUUCAUAUCUGUUCACACACGAACACGUCACCGUAUGCCCCCGACGAUGAGCACGACUGCGGAUGAGCCUCGCCGUGAGCGCGAUACGCAAGACACGUCGGCAAGGUCUUCUGAAACCCCACACGCCCGUGAAACCCCACACGCCCGAGAAUAACUCCGUCAGGGCGCGUGGCAGCUAUGGGCUGCCCUAGCCAGCCUGACUGCUCUAGGGCUUCGCCAUUGUUGAAGCAAUGAACAUCGUCGACAACGGAGAACGAAAAGAAAUAGUAGAUUGAAUAAUAAGAUAAAAGAUAAAAGAUAGAUGUAUUUUGAUAUAUUCGAUUGUCUGUGUCAAUCGGCCGUCACCCCUUAUAUAUUUGUAGGGUGGUUGGUCUUUCCUUUAUCCAAAUACAUGCUAGGCUAUUGUCGUAUAAUACCCAUAUACAUAACAGGCUCCUAUGCGGCUAUGUUGAUGCCAAUCUUGCAUUACACAGUACAAGCCAUAGAGCAACUCCAACAGGUUGGCUAAAAUUAACUAGUCAAAUUUUAUUGUUUAGCCAUUUUGUAAAAUAGAAAAUUUGUUUAAAAAAAAGAUCCACAAUAGUCUUGUUAUUUUACAAAAUCAGGUAUCCAGCGUCUGUGGUUGGCUAUAUAUGGCCACCAAAAAUUAAGGAAUGGCUAGCUUGCUAUUUUAUAAAAUCAGAUAGCAUAUUUGUUGGAGCUUACUUUUUACUAUACAAAUGCUAAAAUAGCCUAUACAAUAAAAAUAGUCAAGUUGUUGGAGUUGCUCUAAUGAAGCAACUACACAUACAAGUCCUUUCCAUGUACGUGCAUGUUCUCCUCCAUCUUAGCUUCUGUCUGUUGUAAAACAUACGGAGUGUAUGUGAGCUCUUACCAAAACUCUUAAACCUUGGCAGGACUAUAUAUACGUGGGAGCUCUAUGUUGUAAUUACCAAUAUAUUGAGAGGAAUAAAAAAUAGUCUCCCUAUCUUGUGUCUAUUUGUUCUUCUACUUUCAUCUACUAUGUUGAUCAUGAAAGACGUUUAGGGAAAGGUCCCAACCGCUGGCAACAUGUUUUAUAACACGUUAUCAGCACGACAAGCUCUACGUCGACAUCACCGUUGAAGCCGCCGCCGACCUUCGACGCCGACGUUCAUGCCGUCGACGUCGCGGACAUGACUACUUCGACGACGACAUCGACAUCCCGAUGUUGUUAGUGGAACGGAUCUGCUACCUCUACCUGCUACAGAUCUGCACUACAUCAACUGUCAUCUUUUCUGUCAAGCAGGGAGUUCUACGACAAUGUCAAACGCUCUACGCGAUAUGUAUCUACUAACCACUAUCCUACGCGACAUGUGAGGUAGAUCAAAUUGACAUCCUUUAAAAGGUAUGAAAUACGUCUUGUAGAUUGUUUUGCACCGGCCAUCAAGCUGGAUUAAUCUCUACUCGAAGUUUGCAUGAGUAGCUAGAAACCCUGUUUUUCCAAAUCGAGCUAGAAUACAUAAAUUAGAUGGGAGAUCAUGACAUCAGACUAAAAGUCUACGGUGCAUUAAUUAGCAAGUAAAGGAAGCUAAAUAGCAUGCAUAUGCAUGUGUAUGAAUUUUGCGUGUGCGUGUAUAUAUAAUUAAAACAUGUCAAUGGACUGCGGAUGGAUAUAGCUACCGUAUUAGCUUUCUCCAAUGAACGUGUGCAAGUUCACCAUUGAUCACUCGUACAAUUACAUUGUAUCAGUCAUGAGUUUGACAUGCAAUCAAUACCAUCUAUGCAAGUUCCAUCAUCUUGACUUUACUUAUAAUUCGAGUUGCACUCGCACGUGCCUUAUCCUUUGCUUGCUGGUACUUAACAUGUAGUCAUUGCGGCAAGUACAGAAUAUUGUAUUCUCGCUGGCCUGAAGUCUAGGCACCAUCGGGGCAUGCAUUGAAUCAGAUUGAAUCUUGUUGCAUCUGCAAUUCCCUCUAUAAACUCGGACUCCUUACAAGCUCUACUAUUUUUUUGAAUUGUUGCAUCUUUUGACAAACUUGUAGCUCCCUGCAACUUCGUACCACUAUAUGCUAGAAGCAUUGGAACAGACUAAAAAAUUAAGAAUGUGACAAAGACAGGGCCCAUAGUCCCUCUCAUCUUAAAAAGGAUGCAUCAGUUUUGGAAUUUCUAGAAGAAAAAUAUAUUCCUAUCUUGACAGUAAAUUCUAUACGCUUAUUUUUAGUUUAUAUAUAGCGUAUGUGUGCUGAUAUUUUUAUGCUAUUUUGAAUGCAUUUAUUUAUCACACAUUAUGAAUAUACCAUGUCAUAACAAGUGUAAAGCAUUGAAUGAUUACAUUAGAAACAUGGUAUAUGGUAUAUGGGCUCUCUAAAUCCUGCAGACCUUAGACUUAUCACCUUUAAUAGGCUCAUAUUUAUUUUUCUAGCAUAAUGAAUUUUGGGAUGAAUGAAUGGUUGAUAUUAAUUCUAAAAAUUUAUAUUUAUACCAUAAUCCUGAAAAAUGCUAGGAUAUUUCUAAGAAUAUUUUGUAUAACCAUCCACUAUCUUUUUGUACCUUGCUACUUGUUUACAUGUAGUAAACUUAUAUGCACAUAAUGAUUCCAAUUAUAAUAAUGUCGAGGAUAUCACUAAGGGGUACCCUAACUGAUGUACAUAGCGAGAGCAUCCAUACGAAAGUCGAGGCCUCCGACUCGACGCCCCUCCCCAGUUGUACGCACGGUCCUCGACAAUCGUAGCCACGAACACGGAAAGAACGUCCUGCGAAUCGACUAAGGCUCGAGCGCCGGCUACCGUCGAAUACGAAAACAGGCUCUUACGAAUCGAAAGGCCUCGAGCGCAAGGACGCCGGCCGCCGCCUGACGUGGGCACGGGAACCAGGGCAUUUAAUGCGCCUGCCUCGUUCUCACCUAACCCGUCAGUCACGGGAAGCGUGAUAGGGAACAAGCACCCGUCCUGUCGUUCUUUUCGCAGCCUUCCCCACCAAACAAGCCAGAACGUGGCAGGGCGCAGGGAGUGGGUCGGAACGUCCAGUCAAGACCCCCCUCGAGACGCCCAAAGCAAGGCGUUACAUGGCACCUGACCCUCGAGUAGGCACGUUUCCUUCCUGAGGAAGGAUCGGGCGACGAAUGACAGCACUUCAACCACUUCGACGUAGCUGCUACCGCGACGUACAAGCAUGCAACAGAUAAACCAGUCCAGGACGGCGCACAGGAGCGGAAUUCAGGGGCAUGCGUAAUCAUCAUCAAGGUACCAAGACAAGACGGCUCGAGGCCACGCCGGUACGGAGGCCUCGAGUAGGUCAGCGCGCCGCACCCCUAUCGACCCCUACUCUGUCGCCUAUGUAUGUAACCUAGGCCUCCCCUUGGAACUAUAAAAGGGAAAGCCCAGGAGAGGAUACGGGGGACAAGAGAUAUACGCAUUAGAGCACUCAUACUCCCUCACCACCCAUCCACGUCUGUAUUCACCCCUGUACAAGCACUUAAGUGCAAGAUAAUACAAACUCUCCUCCCCCGCUGGACGUAGGGCCUUCUCUUGCCCGAACCAGGAUAAAUCUUUGUGUCUUUUCUUGCAUCACCAUCUGGAAAGGGGAGCACGCACACAAGUUUUACUCGUUUGUGUGACCCCCCGGGGGAAAACACCGACAGUUGGCGCGCCAGGUAGGGGUCCUGCGUGUUUUUCACCGAUUUCCCAUCUUUUUCCAGAUGGCCACUCUUGUUUCACCGAUUCCACGCUCCAUGGAGAUUUGGUUCGGGAGCCUCGAGUUCAUGUCCACCGGUUUUGGCUACGAUAUGAUCCUGCUCUCGGUCAAAGGACCGGGAGGAGCUCGCGUUGCGCCCGCCCGAUUGAGGGCCCCCAGACGGCCUCGCCACCACGCCUCCCCGCCCAAGAAGAGGCGUGGUCAGCGCCACCAUCACCCCUCUGCGUCGUCACGAUCGCAGGUUCGUGCCAAGCGGGAGGUGACGCAGGGGCCGACAGCCCCGCGUGCCGAAGCCGCGGGUAUGACGGCCCGACGCCACGAGGACCGCAUGACGACGAUGGGAGACGGCGCGCCUUGCGCACUCUCGCCCGCCACGACGCUACUUCCGCACGGGCUGUUCGCCCCGAGAAGAGCGCUGCCGUUCGGUCUGGACAAUGCCGCGGCGUCACUCGCCAGGACGAUAUGUCCAAACGCCCAGACGUACGUGGAGAGACCAAUGGUCCUCCCACGCGACACUGGAGCACAGCAACGGACGUCCGAGCUGCCGGAUUUCUCUCAGGUACGAGGCCUCCGCCGCCUAGGUCCUGGGCGGUACACGAUCACCUCGCUCAGGCAACGGCUGCUGGAGGAGGGACGUGGAUGCUUCUACGCCGCCGAGCCGGACUCCGACUCUGAGUCCGACAGCUACGACCCUACUAGGGAAUGCUUCCAUAUCGACAGGGCGGUAGAAAGCACCGACGAGACACAAGUCGCCGUUGCCGGCGGUCGAGCCCCUGCAGCAAGGGAAGACCCCAGGACGCCUGGAAACGACGGUCAAGUCGACCCUCCUCCGCAAGAAGACAGAGCCGCGCAACUUGCGCAGUUAUGAGAGCUCAAAGCGAAGCUCGAUGAAGAUCGCGAGUGCCUUGUCCUGCUUGAACAGAUCCUCGAGCAGGACCAGCCAUACCCGCCUGGCGGAAGUGUCCGCAGACGGGCUCGAGAAGUACAUCGACAAAUCGUUGGAGACAGGGAGCCUGAGCAACCCGUCAGCCGUUUCCCUCGAGCGGGACAGAACAUCGUGGCGGCAACAAUGCUGCUACGCAAUAUGCCCGAACCGUCGAAUUCCCAAGCGCGACGCAUUCGAGACGAGGUACAGACUCUGCUCCAAGUGGCGGCAGUUCAGCAAGCCGAGAGCUCGGCCUCUCGACGUCGAGGAGCAGCCACGGAGAAGCGUGAGGAGGCGGCCCAGAACGAAAAGGAGGUGUCGGUCCAUCAGCAACCACCCCCUCGAGGGAAGAAGACAGCACUCGUCCUCAACCACCCCGUCGACAAUCAGCGACGACACGACGCACGACGCGACAUCGACGAGAAUCGUCGCCGUCGAUAUGGGGAUGCAGAAGAGCGUGGUUACAGCGCCCACCGCGGCGGGAGAUACGACAGCGACGAGGAUCGGAUGGCCCCGGAACCGUCGGGCCCUCGGGUGUUCAGUAGAGCAAUCCGCAGCACGCCACUGCCCAGCCCGUUUCGACCCCCGACCAGCAUCGCUAAAUACAACGGCGAAACCAAGCCAGAGCUAUGGUUCGUAGACUUCCGGUUAGCCUGUCAGUUGGGUGGCGCUCGAGGAGAUGAUCGAGCCAUCAUCAGGCAGUUGCCGCUUUUUCUCUCCGACACCGCCCGCAGAUGGCUGGAGGAACUCCCGGCCAAUCAAAUCCACGAUUGGGUCGAUUUGGUCAGAGUAUUUGAGGGCAACUUCAAAGGGACCUACAUACGGCCCGGCAACUCGUGGGACCUCAACAAGUGCAAGCAGAAGUCAGGAGAAACUCUCCGGGAGUAUGCUCGACGCUUCUCGAAGCAAUGCACCGAGCUGCCGCACAUCCCAGACCACGACGUCAUCCUGGCCUUUGUUAGGCCAGAAUCGUCCUCAGACCGUCGAUGAGCUGACGGACGUAGUGGCAAACUACACUACAGGGGAAGAAGCGGUCGGUGCCUUCUUGAGCUGCGAAGGAGGGAAAGGCAAGUCGCCCGCCGAUGACGAUAAGGGCCCCAGUCAAGGACCCAAGAAGAACAAAAAGAAGAAGAAAGCACGGCUGUUCCAGCAGGAUGCCCUCGACGAUGAUCUCGUCGCCGCCAUGGAGCGCAAAAGGCCUCGAGGACCCCCAGAGGGGGCUAUCUUCGACCAAAUGCUAAAGGAGCCCUGCUAUCGGUGUUUUCCCCACGGGGGGUCACACCAACGAGUAAAUUUGUAUGCGUGCUCCCUUUCCCAGAUGGUGAUGCAAGAAGACACAGGGAUUUAUCCUGGUUCGGGCAAGAGAAGGCCCUACGUCCAGCGGGGGGAGGAGAGUUUGUAUUAUCUUGCACCUAAGUGCUUGUACAGGGGCGAAUACAAGCGUGGUAUGAAGUGUGGAGCUCUACUACGUAUGAGCGUGGUCUUGUGUCGUGAUGUCCCUUGCUAUUCUAUUCCUGAGUCCCUCCUUUUAUAGUUCCAAGGAGAGACCCAAGGUACAUGUAUAGGCGUCAGAAUAGAAGUCGAUAGCAGUAUGGAGCGCUGACCUACUCAAGGCUUCCGUACCGGCAUGGCCUCGAGCCGUCCCGUCUUAAUAUCCUGGUGAUGAUUACGCGUGCCCCUGCAUUCUGCUCUGCGCGCCGUCUUGGAUUGGUUUGACGGAUGCACGCUUGUACGAUCCGGCGGCAAAUCCGGCGGAGUGGUUGGGAUGUAGCCAGUCGACGCCCAACCCGUCCCCUGGAAGGAUCUCUGUCUGGUCGAGGGUCAGAUGCCGUACAUUGUGCCGAUAUCCGGAGCGCUGACUUUAGACGUCUCGAGGGGGUCCCGAUUAGACGUCCCAUCCUUGUUUCCCGCGCCCUGUCGUGCCCUGGGUCGUUCGGCGGGAAGGCUGCAAAAAGAUCGAUGGGACGGAAGCCUGUUCCCUAUCACGCUUCCCGUGACCUGUGUGUUAGGUGGGGAAGCAUCAGGCGCAUUUAAUGCUCCGGCCCGCGUGCGCGCGUCAGGCGGCGGGCGGCGUCCUUGCGCUCGACGCCCCCCGGUUCGCGUGAGCCUGUUCCGUAUUCGACGGUAACCGGCGCUCGACGCCUGAUCGAUUCGCUCGACGCUAUUUCCGCCUUCGAGGUUGCGGCCGUCGAUGGCGGCGCAUACGUAAGAUUAGAGCGUCGAAUUGAGGGCCUCGACCUGCGUACGGGCAAUCUCGUAAUGCGCAUCGCUGAGGGUACCCCUUGCCGAUACCCUCGACAGUAGCCCCCGAGCCUCCAUUUGAGCGCUAGCGCUCAAGUGGAGGCUUUGUUUUGCGGUCGAAUUUCCGUGGGGGCGCGCGAGCGACCCCACGGGGGUAGCCCCCAAGCCCUCGGAGGAGUUUUUGACUCCUUCGAGGGCUAUGUUGUCUAAUUCGCAGAAGCGCUUUCGACACCAGUGGUGGAAGGUUCUGACUGGCUCGUUUUGCCCGUGGGUUUCGGCGUACUCUCGAUAGAGCGAGCGUCUUCCACCCCAAAUUGAGUUCCUGGCGGGUAGUCCAAGUGAGAACCUGUGCCCCUUUCGAGGGGGUCAGCUGUAGCCCGGAGGCGUUCUCAUAAAGCGGGAUCGACGUGGUCGGGGAUACCAGUCUCAUUCGAUAGAGACCGGCGGCUCGAUGCCUCCCGUCGGGGGGAUUCCUCUCGACUGUCUCGACCCUACCUUGAACAUCGCCAGCGAGCCCUCGAGGCGGGCCUCGAUCUUCGACCGCUCGCUGGGGAUCCCUGACUCUGGCGCUCGAGAUCGGCUGUCGAACCCUUUCGGCGGGCCAGCCAUCGACCUCUCGAGACUCUCGCGGGUACGUCCCUUGGCUUACGAGGGAAGGAAGUGGCCGUGGCAGUUCGCCUUUCUGCCCGUUGGGCGCGCCUUUUUAGGCGGGUGACGUUACGACACUGCGUCGGCGUGGGAUUCGGGGCGCCACGCCUGCGUGGGAAAGAGACGAUUAGGUGGCGCAUUUAAUGGAGGGAGUUACCUUAUUUCUCGGAUCUGUCCGUUGGCGGACUGCUGCCUAUAAAUACGUCGUGGCGUCGCCGCCGUUCCUCUCCCUUCCGCCUUCUCGCUUUUAUUCUCUCGUUGCCUUUGCUUUCUCGCUGCCUUAGCUCUCUUGCCGUCUCACGCGCACACGCCUCCUCGAGCUGUAGCGAAUCCACCGUCCCUCCAGCCGAGAUGCCUGUAAGACUCGUUGCCACCGACGACUGGCGCCCGUCGUCGAUGACGGAGCGCCGGUUGUUAGAGCUUGAGAAAGAGGGACUGCUACGCCGCCGUACCUCGCUAUCGUCGCCAGAGUGGAUCACGCCGCCGGCGAGUCACAGGGGGCCUCAGCCGCCCGAGGGCUACGUGGUGUCGUUCGCCAAGUUCCACCGCCACGGCCUGGGCGUGCCCCCAAGCCGCUUCAUGCGGGCCCUCUGCUUCCAUUAUGGGGUGGAGCUCCAGCACUUCUCUCCGAACGCCAUCACCGUAGCGGCGGUCUUCGCCGCCGUGUGUGAGGGCUACUUGGGGAUGAUGCCGCACUGGGAGCUGUGGCUCCACCUCUACAGGGGAGAGCUUUUCCACGCCCCACUGGAACCACGGGCGUAAGGAAGCCCGUGCGAGCGGGAUGCCUCAAUCUGGUGCAGAAGACGGGGAAGACGGACAGGCCGCGGGAGUACAUCCCAGUAGGGUUAUCGACCAACCACGCCGGCUGGGACUCCCAGUGGUUUUACCUGCGGAAUGAUGACAACCUCCUGCCUUCCUACUCGGGCCGUCUGAUCAUGGAGCGUCCAGCGGACUGGACAUACGGCGUCGUCCAAGCUCAUCAAUCUCGGCUCGACCCCCUCCUCGACGCCCUGAAGAAGAUUCGCCAGGAGGGUUUGACCGCCGCUCUCGUCCUCUCGGCCGUGCAUCACCGGAGAGUUCUCCCUUUGAUGUCUCGCCCGUUGAGGAUGGACGAGAUGGGCCCUGGCGUCUCAUCUCGGGACCUCGAGGCGUGUCGGAUAUCCAACGAGGCUCCGGCGGACGACGAAGUCGCGGCCCAAGUCAGGGCUGCAAUUGCCGGUGAUUUUCAGUCGGAGCACGUUAACGGCUUCCCCAUGAGACCAGACGCAGGCUCGAUCGAUCUGGUUCGCUUUCUUCUUGCGCGCAGCCUCGAUUCUGGGUUUCCUUUCUCCCCUCUCUUUUUUCUAAGUCUGCCUUUGUUUUGGCAGGGUCGGAUUGAUGUCCGGUCCUCGAGGCCUCCGGUAAAGGAGGACGAGGUCGAUCGUGACAAACGGCGCCAAUCUGCCGAAAAGCUAAAGUCCGCCAAGGACUCUGCAAAGAAGGGGGAGAAGAAGAAGAACCUCGACCACCAAGCAUUAGAGGCGCGUCGAGCCAAAUCCAGGCAGAGGGGGGAGCCUGAGGAAGAAUCCCCUAACGACGAUGACGAUGACGACGAGGACAGCGACGACUCUGAGGGGAUGGCGUCGCGCCUCGAUCGGAUUCUCGAGGGCCCGCCUCGAGGUGACGUCGACGCCCCCCGGACGGAGGCGCCAGAGGAAGGUCCGAGCGGAUCUCAUCGCCCCCGGGCCGACACCCCUCCCGCGCCCAAGGCGGGCCAGGACGCACCGCGCCCUCCCCCGGUGCCCAGGGAGAGCGGUCUGGCUAGGCCCCAGGCGUCGUGGCCACUAACUCGUGGUCGCGCCGCGGCCUCUGAGAAAGGAGAUGCCGGCCGUAGGAGCGCCAGUCCCGGCGCCCGCCAAGCGGGGACCGACGCGCCUAGGCCAGUGCCCACCCUCGAGGGGCCUGGAGCCCUGACGCGGGGUGGCUCGAGGCCCACUGGUCGGGGUGGCGGGAGGCGAGCCGUUCUCCGUGUGGGGUAAGCCUUUUUGAUGUUGCGGUUUUUGUCUUCCCAUUCUUCCACCUUUCCUCAUAUGCCAACCUUUUUUCAGGCUAAAGCGGACCCUUGAGCAGGCCCAACCAUCCAUGGCAAAGAGGCUCAAAACGGGUGCCGCCUCCAAGGAACCAGGUUCGUAGUUUAUUUCUGGGCGUUGCGAUGUUCUCGUGUCGGUUAUCAUAACGUCUGACCCUUUCCCUUUGUUUCGUAGGCUCCUCCAGCUCCCAACCUCCAGCCGGCGUCGAGAGGGCUCCGUCUCGUCCCGCGCCUACUCCGUCGCCGCCGACUCGUGAUGAGGCGCCCCAGACGCAAGCGUCAGAGGGAUCCGCCGAGCCCCCUCGAUUGGGGGUCGAGGGGGAACCCAUCACCAUCAGCGAUACGUCCGAUGGUAACGAAGCGUCUUGGGGCGCUCGCCCUAUGGAGGAGGAAGCGCCAACCCCCAACGUCGCGGGAUCAACUCCCUGGCCCGCCGGCCUCCGCACCCUCGAGGAGCAGAAGAAGAAGAGAGAGGAGGAUGAACAGCGGGAGCGCGAGGCGGCGCGGCAGCCGCAGGAACAUGAGACGCAGCAACAGCGACAGCUACAGCAGCAGGAGCGACAGCAGCAGCAGCAGGAGCAGCAGCAUCAGCAGCAGGAGCAACAGCAGCAGCAGCAGGGGGGCCAGGAGGAGGGACUGCUCGAGCCCCCGCCCCAAGGUCCGGCCCAGCCAGUACCGCCGGAGCCGUAAGGGCCCGGCGAGCAAGAAGAGGAUUUGCCGGUGUACGGCCCCCCGACCCCAGCGUGGCUCCUCCCGGGGGCACCCGCCGCGAUCCGGGCAGAGCCGGGGCGUGCGGAUGGAGUGGUGGCGCUCGCCUGCAUGAUGCGCACCCCCACCGACCCUGAGUCCGAGAUCAAGCAGACGAUCUACGGCAUGGACGGGAUCGCCCCACGGUUCCUCCGGGAGCGUCGGGCAUGGGAGGACCGCUUUCCCUCCGAGGAGGAUGAAAUCGGGACGUCGGGGACCAAGGACGGGACCUGGAAGACGGUGGAUGACGACGGGCGGUUUCCAUGCCUCGUCGACCUGUUCUUGCGCCAUGGGGGUUCUCUCGAGACCGUCGAGGACCUCAUCCGUGGCAUAAAGGCGCGGGCCGACCGGGAGAUGGAGCAUUGGUGCCCCGAUCGGAUCCGCAUCCGAGCCUAACAUUUUUCUGGACGAUCGAAAGGAGGCAGAGAAGUGGGAGCACGUCGAGGAACUCCGCCUUUGGAUGAAGCACGUGGUGGGGCUCCUCUCAAACGUUAUCAACAACGGGCUCGGCCCGGCUUAUUUCGUAAGUGCUUUUCGAUCUUCAACCCUCGUGGAGCCUUUUGGUUUUGCGCUCUAACCGUUCAAUCCUUGGUUCGCAGGAUAUGAAAGAGACCUCCCGCAUCAAGUCUAGUUUCAUACACGCCACGAGAGGCGGCUAGGAGCAGCUUCCCCUCCUCAAGGAUCAACUCCUCGAGUCGCAGGAAAAGCUCCUUAAAGCUUAUAAGGAUCUCAUAGCACUUGAGGAGGAGAAGAAGGUGAGGGAGGCUGCCUUGGCCGAGGCCCGAGAGGCCUCAAAGAAGGCGGAGGAGGAGACGAUGCUGCUACGGGAGCGGGCUCUUACGGUCGAGGAGGCCGCGUCCAAAGCCCGGGAGGAGGCCCUGUCCUACAAGAGCGUUAUCACAGACCUGGACAAGGAGAAGGGCUUUCUUAAAACCGACCUGGACUCCCUUCGAGAGUCCUUCCAAAGGAUGAAGGUGGAGCAUGUGAACGGCGAGAUCGCCAGGAGCGCCGCGGAGGAAACCAAGAAGAAGGCCCUUGAAGAUCUCGAGGCGGAGCAGGCUCAAUCCCGCAGGCUCUCUGACGACGUUCAGCGUCUGAAGGGAGAGCUGCUGGAGAAGAGUGGGGCCAUUGUUCAGGCUGGCAAGGCGAUCGAGGAUCUCCGCAUUGCCAACACCGAGCUGGCACGCUCCAACAAAGAGAUCGAGAGGGCCAACACCAGGCUGGUCGGCGAGAACACGGCCCUAGAGGAGACCGUACGCGGUAUGUUUCCUCUAUCAGAUUUCUUUUUUUGGGGUGUGCUUGGUUUUUCCUAAGGUCUCUUGUAUUGGCCUUUGCAGGGCUCAAGGACAAACUCCUGGCCGCCCAAGCCGAGGCUCGCAACGCCAAGGCUCAGCUCGAGGUGGAGGUUGCUUUGAACCGUCGAGUUCGGAUGGCGAUAAGUGAUCUCUCGACCUCUUGGGAGGUCGAGCCCAUGGAUGAGUCGAGGGAGGGCGCUCAAGGUGACGCCCUGGUUGACCAGCUGUGCUACAUAGGCGCGACGCUGCGAGAUCGGGUGCGGGAUGCCCUCCACAUCGGGGUGAAGCGGGCGAUGGCGGUUGUCUGCUCGGGCUUCUCCUACGACAUGGAGGUGGUGUCUCACGGCUUCGUCACCGACAUCUCCAAGACCGACGCGGAGAACGAGGAGAGGCUCCAUGCCUUGAUCGACGACGCGGAGGCUCCUGGGGAAAGGCUGGCUAAGCUUUUUGAGCCUGAGGUGCUUCCUCCUGAGACUAGCUUAGGCGGAGGCGAGGGCGGUGAGGAUCGUGCCGCGGACUGAGGCCUGCGAGCUUGCUCAGGGCGCCUGGGGCCCCUUGUAUGAUAUUUUAUUAAUUCUGUUGCUAAGUGAUACAGUGUCUUUUUGUAAUUGUUAAAUGCUUAUUUGUCUUUCCACUCGAGGUCCUUUUAUUUCUCUUUGUUCCUACGUUUGUACCCCCUGCUCGAUCUUUCGUCACAAACAACCUCGAUCACCUCAAUGGUGAGGAAGUGAGUAGAGUUUCCGAAGCCCGGGGGCGUAGGAGUUCUCUGGCUCGUUGUCCCUCGGCCUUUGAGGGGCUCGAGGCGCCUCUGCUACUCGAAACGCGCAAGGUUUACUAAAUAGGAAAAGAAAGUUUCUUGGCUUUGUCGACGCUUGGGGGGGGUCGUCCCCCUGGUAGCCCCCGAGGGGGUGUUGACUAUGAUGGGUCAUGGUCGGCAUCCCCUUUUAACGUCGAGACUAUGACUUGUAGCUUUUUUUGGCACAAAAAGAAGUCGCUCGAGGGAAAGACUUUAUUUAUUCAUGCGUUCGUUUACAAAGUCUUGGUACAAAAUGUAGGAACGUAAGUUUAGGACUUCUAGGGGUAGAAUCGACGUAGCUGUUCGAUGUUCCAUGCGUUGGUGAAGAUUGCCCCCUUUUCGUCCGCCAACUUGUACGUUCCCGGCUUCAGGACCUCGGCCACCAUGUACGGGCCUUCCCAAGGCGGAGUCAGCUUGUGGCGUCCUUGAUUGCUUUGCCGGCGUCGUAGGACAAGGUCGCCCACGUUGAGGUCCCUCUUGCGCACGUGCUUGUCGUGGUAGAGUUGAAGUUUUUGCUGGUAUCUGGCAGAGUUGAGGAGGGCCAUGUCUCGAGCCUCCUCGAGUUGGUCGACCGCGUUUUCUUGAGUCUCCUUAUUGGAUUGCUCAUUAUACGCCUUGAGUCGAGGUGACCCAUACUCGAGGUCUGUGGGGAGGACAGCCUCGGAGCCGUAGACCAUGAAGAAUGGGGUGUACUUCGUGGCCCUGCUUGGCGUUGUCCUUAGACUCCAUAGGACCGAGGAAAGCUCCUCGACCCAUUUCUUGCCGAAUUUCUUCAAACGAUUGUAGAUCCUUGGCUUGAGUCCUUGCAAAAUCAUACCGUUGGCACGCUCGACCUGGCCGUUGGUUCGAGGGUGGGCUACUGCAGACCAGUUCACACGGAUGUGAUGCUGAUCGCAGAAGUCCAAGAACUUUUUGCCGGUGAACUGAGUGCCGUUGUCGGUGAUGAUGACGUUGGGAAUCCCAAAUCGAUGGAUUAUGUCGGUGAAGAAAAGGUCGGCCUGUUCGGAGCGGAUGUUGGUGAUGGGUCGAGCCUCGAUCCAUUUGGAGAAUUUGUCAAUGGCCACCAACAAGUGGGUGUACCCUCCUUUCGUCUUUUGUAGAGGUCCUACCAAAUCGAGCCCCAAACUGCAAACGGCCAGGUGAUGGGGAUCAUCUGAAGAGCGUGGGCGGGCAGGUGCGUCUGCUUGGCGUAAAACUGGCACCCGUGACACGUGCGCACGAGCUCGAUGGCAUCUGCCACGGCCGUCGGCCAGUAGAAACCCUGUCGAAAAGCGUUUCCCACGAGGGUCCGUGGAGCAGCAUGGUGGCCGCAAGCCCCCGAGUGUAGGUCUUCAAGGAGUUUUCGACCUUCUUCCACGGUGAUGCAACGCUGUAAGACCCCCGUCGGGCUUCGUCGAUAUAGCUCGUUGUCUUCGCCAUAUAUCACAUAUGACUUGACCCGUCGAGCGAUGCGACGGGCCUCUGACCGAUCUUCUGGCAGCUCGCCGUGGAUUAGGCAGUCGAGGUAUGGUGUGCGCCAGUCGAACGGUCGACCAGGCUGUCAUUCUACCUCCAUCACUUCAGCCGCCAUCAAGAGUGUGUCGACGGUGUUGGUUGGCUGGGCAGGAGCUGCGUCGACGCCAGCCCCCGAGCCUAAGUCGACGGAUGGCUCGUAGAGAUCUCUCGAGAACGCGUUAGGUGGCACCGUGCCUCGAGUCGAUGCGAUCUUGGCGAGUUCGUCGGCUGCCUCAUUGUAGCGUCGGGCGACAUGGACAAGCUCAAUACCAUAGAAUUUGUCCUCGAAUCGAUGGACUUCUUUGCAGUACGCUUCCAUUUUCGGGUCGUGGCAGCUCGAGGUUUUCAUUACUUGGUCGAUGACGAGUUGGGAGUCACCUCGGACGUCGAGGCGUCGGACUCCUAACUCGAUAGCGAUCUUGAGACCAUUGACGAGGGCCUCAUAUUCUGCGACGUUGUUAGAUGCGGCAAAAUGAAUCCUGAUUACAUACCUCAUGUGGACGCCCAAGGGUGAGAUGAACAGUAGGCCGGCCCCGGCCCCAGUUUUCAUGAGUGACCCGUCGAAAUACAUUGUCCACAACUCCGCCUGGACCUGAGUCGGGGGAAGCUGGGAGUCCGUCCAUUCCGCGACGAAGUCUACCAGGGCUUGCGAUUUGAUGGCCUUCUGAGGUGCAUAAGUGAGAGUCUCACUCAUGAGCUCGACCGACCACUUAGCUAUUCUUCCCGUGGCCUCCUUGCUCUGGAUUAUCUCACCCAAAGGGAAAGACGAAACCACUGUGAUGGGGUGACCAAGGAAGUAAUGCUGCAGCUUGCGGCGAGCGAGGAUUACGGCGUAGAUCAGCUUCUGGAUUUGGGGGUAACGCGCCUUGGUCUCCGAAAGCACCUCGCUGACGAAAUAGACUGGCCUUUGGACCGGCAACGCAUGACCCUCCUCCUGUCUUUCAACUACCACUGCCGCACUGACGACCUGGGUAGUUGAUGCGAUGUAGAGGAGUAGCGGCUCUGCAGGUUGAGGCGGAACUAGGACUGGCGCCGAGGUCAGCGUCUUCUUCAGUCUUUCGAGCGCUUUCUCGGCCUCGGGGGUCCAAGAAAAGCGCUCGACCUUCUUCAGGAGUCGAUACAAUGGUAGCGCCUUUUCUCCUAGUCUCGAGAUGAAACGGCUCAGAGCCGCAAGGCAUCCCGUGACUCUCUGCACGCCCUUGAUGUCUCGGAUCGGCCCCAUUCUUGUGAUGGCCGAGACUUUCUCGGGGUUGGCCUCGAUGCCGCGCUGCGAGACGAUGUAGCCUAGGAGCAUGCCUCGAGGCACAACGAAAACACAUUUCUCGGGAUUGAGCUUGAUCCGGUUGGUGCGUAAGCAGCUAAAAGCGAUCUCGAGGUCCUGGAUCAGGUCUCCUCGCCGCUUUGAUUUGACAACAAUGUCGUCGACGUAGGCCUCGACCGUCGACCCUAUGUGUUCGCCAAAUACGUGGAGCAUGCAAUGUUGGUACGUGGCUCCCGCGUUUCGAAGCCCAAAUGGCAUGGUCACGUAGCAAUACAUCCCAAAAGGGGUGAUGAAAGAGGUCGCGAGCUGGUCGGACUCUUUCAUUUUUAUUUGGUGGUAACCAGAAUAUGCAUCAAGAAAAGAAAGGGUUUCACAUCCCGCGGUAGAAUCGACAAUCUGAUCAAUACGUGGCAAUGGAAAAGGAACUUUUGGACAUGCUUUAUUUAGACUAGUAUAAUCGACACACAUCCUCAUUUUCCCAUUCUUUUUCUUAACUAAUACAGGGUUUGCUAACCAGUCGGGAUGAUGAACCUCCUUGAUGAAUCUGGCCGUCAAAAGCUUCUGGACUUCCUCGCCAAUGACCUUGCGCUUCUCCUCGUCGAAUCAGCGCAACCGCUGCUUCACUGGCUUGGAACCGGCUCGAAUCUCCAAGGAGUGCUCGGCGACUUCCCUCGGUAUGCCUGGCAUGUCCGAGGGACUCCAUGCAAACAUGUCGGCAUUUGCACGGAGAAAGUCGACGAGCACAACUUCCUAUUUGGGGUCGAGGUCGGCGCUGAUCGUCAGCACCUUGCCGUCGGAGUUGUUGGGGUCGAGCGGGAUCUUCUUGGUUCCUUCUGCCGCCUCGAAGCUGCCCGUGUGGCGCUUAGGCUCUGGAGCCUCAGCGGCCAGGGCCUCGAGUUUCGCGACGAGCUCGGUGGAGUUCUCGACCGCCUCCCCGUGCUCGACGCACUCGACAUCGCACUCGUACGCGUGCUCGAAAGAAGAACUGACAGUGAUGACGCCUUUGGGUCCUGGCAUCUUCAGCUUCAAGUAGGUAUAGUUGGGUAUAGCCAUGAACUUGGCGUAGCCCGGGCGCCCGAUGAUGGCGUGGUACGUGCCUCGGAAUCCGACGACCUCAAAGGUGAGGGUCUCCUUCCUGAAGUUGGCCGCCGUGCCAAAGCAGACGGGUAAGUCAAUUCGUCCUACUGGCAGCGCCUUUUUCCCUGGCACGACGCCAUGGAAGCCGCCGGCGCUUGGUUGGAGCUUCCCUCUAUCUAUGCCGAGGAGGUCGAGGGUCUCGAGGUAGAUGAUGUUGAGGCUACUGCCACCGUCCAUCAGCACCUUUGAGAGCCGGGUGUUGAUGAUGAUGGGGUCGACGACAAGCGGGUAGACGCCUGGGGCGACUACCUUGUCGGGGUGGUCUUCUUGGUCGAAAGUGAUAGGUGUGCUUGACCAGCUAAGGUACUGGGGCACCGCCAUUCUUGCCGCGAAGACCUCUCGACGCUCCCUUUUGCGCUGCCUCGUGGUCAACUGAGUCGAGGGCCCGCCAUAAAUCAUGUAGCAGUCGUGGACGGCAGGGAAGCCGUCGUCAUCUUUGUCGUCCUCCUUAUUGCCACCCUUCUCUUUCUUGGAGUCGUCACGCACAUCUUUCUUGAACCCCAGACCGUCGAAAUGUUUUUUCAACAUGCGACAGUCCUUGAGCUUGUGGUUGGCGCCCCCCUUAUGGUAAGGGCACGGCUCCUCCAGCAUCUUGUCGAAGAUGCCUCCAUCUGGAGGGCCUCGAGGUUUCUUUCGAUCCAUGGCGGCGACAAGGUUGUCAUCGGAAUCCUCCCGGUGGAACCGCCGUUCUUUCUGCUUCUUUUUAUUUUUCUUGAGGCCUCGACUGGGGGUCCCAUCUUCAUCGACGGGCUGCUUGCCUUUUCUCCCUUCAGAGCCGAAGAAGGCGCCGACUGCCUCCUCCCCUGCCGCAUAGUUGGCUACUAUAUCCAUCAGCUCGUCGACGGUCUGAGGUCAAUUGCGACCUAAUUCCCGCACCAAGUCUCGACUGGUAGUGCCCGAGACGAACGCCAAGAUGACGUCGUGGUCAGGGAUGUGCGGCAGCUCAGUGCGCUGCUUCGAGAAGCAUCGAGCAUACUCUCGAAGAGUUUCUCCUGACUUCUGUUUGCACUUGCUGAGGUCCCACGAGUUCCCAGGCCGUAUGUAGGUCCCUUUGAAGUUACCCUCGAAGACUCUGACCAGAUCAACCCAGUUGUGGAUCUGAUCAGCGGGGAGUUCCUCGAGCCAUCGACGGGCGGUGUCGGAGAGGAAAAGCGGGAGUUGCCUGAUGAUAGCUCGAUCGUCUCCUCGAGCUCCCCCCAACUAACAGGCCAGCCUAAAGUCGGCUAACCACAAUUCCGGUUUGGUUUCGCCGUUGUAUUUCGCGAUGCUGGUUGGGGGUCGAAAUGGGCUGGGCAGGGGCGUGCUGCGGAUCGCCCUGCUGAAAACCUGUGGGCCCGGUGGCUCGGGGGCCACCCGAUCUUCGUCGCUGUCGUACCUGCCACCGCGAUGUGCGCUGUAACCGCGCUCUUCCGCGUCCCCGUACCGGCGGCGUCGAUUCUCCUCGAUGUCGUGCCGUGCGUCGUGUCGACGCUGGUUGUCGACGGGGAGGAUGAGGGCGGUCUUUCUACCUCGAGGUGGAGGUUGCUGAUGGACUGACACCUCCUUUUCGUUUUGAGGCUGCUCGUCGCGCUUCUCAGUGGCAGCCCCUCGCCGUCGAGAAGCUGAGCUUUCGGCUUGUUGAACCGCCGCCACCUGGAGCAAUGUCUGUACCUCAUCUCGAAUGCGUUGAGCCUGGGAGUUCGAUGGCUCUGGCAUGUUACGCAGUAGCAUCGUUGCUGCCACUACGUUCUGGCCUGCUCGAGGGAAACGGCUGAUAGGUUGCUCUGGCUCUGCGUCACCGAUGAUCUGUCGAUGUACCUCUCGAGCGCGUCUGCAGACACUCCCGCCCGGUGGGUAGGGCAGGUCUUGCUCAAGGAUUUGCUCGAGCAGGACGAGGUGCUCGCGGUCUUUGUCGAGCUUCAUCUUGAGCUCCCACAGCUGCGCGAGCUGCGCUUUUCGGUCUUCCUGUGGAGGGGGGUUGACCUGUCCGUCGUUCCCAGGCGUCCUGGGGUCUUCUCGUGCCACGGGGGCUCGACCGCCCGCAGCAGCAUCCUGUGUCUCGUCGGUAGUUUCUACCGCCCCGUCGACGUGAUAGCAUUCCCUCGUAGGGUCGUAGCUAUCAGUCUCAGAGUCGGAGUCUGGUUUGGCGGCGUAGAAACACUCACGUCCCUCCUCCAGCAAUCGCUGUCUGAGGGAGGUGAUCGUGUAUCGUCCAGGGCCUAGACGACGGAGGCCUCGUACCUGGGAAAGGUCCGGCUGCUCGGGCGCCGGCCGCCGAGCGCCAGAGCUGCGCGGGAGGACCGUUAGUCUUUCUACGUUCAUCUGGGCGUUUGGGCAUAUCGCCCUGGCGAGCGACGCCGCGGCGUUGUCCAAUCCGAAUGGCAGUGCCGUUCUCGGAGCGAACAACCCGUGUGGAAGUAGCCUAGCAGCGGUGGGGGAGAACGCGCGAGACGCGUCCCCUCCCGUCGUUGUGCGGUGCUGAGCCGUCGCGCUUGAUGCCCCGUCGCACGGCGCUGCCGACCUGUGGCCCGCUUCCUGCCUUGCACGAGUUGUUGGUCGUGAUGAGGCGGAGGGGCCGCGGUGAUGCUGUCCGCGCCUCUUCUUAGGCGGGGAGGCGUGGUGGUGUGGACGUCUCGGGGCCCCCGAUCGUGCUGGCGGAACGCAGGCUCCUCCUGGUCCUCUGACUGAGAGCAAGAUCAUGUCGUAACCGGAGCCCAUAGACAUGAACUCGAGACUCCCGAACCAAAUCACCGUGGAGCGCGGAAUCGGCGAGGCGAGAGUAGCCAUCUGGAAAGGAGUGGGAAAUCGAUGAAAAACACGCAGGACCCCUACCUGGCGCGCCAACUGUCGGUGUUUUCCCCACGGGGGGUCACACCAACGAGUAAAUUUGUAUGCGUGCUCCCUUUCCCAGAUGGUGAUGUAAGAAGACACAGGGAUUUAUCCUGGUUCGGGCAAGAGAAGGCCCUACGUCUAGCGGGGGGAGGAGAGUUUGUAUUCUAAGUGCUUGUACAGGGGCGAAUACAAGCGUGGUAUGAAGUGUGGAGCUCUACUACGUAUGAGCGUGGUCUUGUGUCGUGAUGUCCCUUGCUAUUCUAUUCCUGAGUCCCUCCUUUUAUAGUUCCAAGGAGAGACCCAAGGUACAUGUAUAGGCGUCAGAAUAGAAGUCGAUAGCAGUAUGGAGCGCUGACCUACUCGAGGCUUCCGUACCGGCAUGGCCUCGAGCCGUCCCGUCUUAAUAUCCUGGUGAUGAUUACGCGUGCCCCUGCAUUCUGCUCUGCGCGCCGUCUUGGAUUGGUUCGACGGAUGCACGCUUGUACGAUCCGGCGGCAAAUCCGGCGGAGUGGUUGGGAUGUAGCCAGUCGACGCCCAACCCGUCCCCUGGAAGGAUCUCUGUCUGGUCGAGGGUCAGAUGUCGUACAUUGUGCCGAUAUCCGGAACGCUGACUUUAGACGUCUCGAGGGGGUCCCGAUUAGACGUCCCAUCCUUGUUUCCCGCACCCUGUCGUGCCCUGGGUCGUUCGGCGGGAAGGCUGCAAAAAGAUCGAUGGGACGGAAGCCUGUUCCCUAUCACGCUUCCCGUGACCUGUGUGUUAGGUGGGCAAGCAUCGGGCGCAUUUAAUGCUCCGGCCCGCGUGCGCGCGUCAGGCGGCGGGCGGCGUCCUUGCGCUCGACGCCCCUCGGUUCGUGUGAGCCUAUUCCGUAUUCGACGGUAACCGGCGCUCGACGCCUGAUCGAUUCGCUCGACGCUAUUUCCGCCUUCGAGGUUGCGGCCGUCGAUGGCGGCGCAUACGUAAGAUUAGAGCGUCGAAUUGAGGGCCUCGACCUGCGUACGGGCAAUCUCGUAAUGCGCAUCGCUGAGGGUACCCCUUGCCGAUACCCUCGACACCUGCCCUUACCAUAAGGGAGGGGCAAACCACAAGCUCGAGGACUGCCGUAUGCUGAAGAAGCACUUCGACGGCCUGGGAUUCAAGAAGGACGACCAAAAGAAAGAGAAGAACGGCGACAAGGGGGACAACAAUGAUGACGAAGGUUUCCCAGCCGUCCACGACUGCUACAUGAUCUACGGUGGACCCUCGACGCAGCUAACCGCAAGGCAACGCAACAGGGAGUGCCGCGAGGUCUUUGCGGCAAGGAUGGCAGUGCCCUAAUACCUCAACUGGUCAAACACCCCCAUCACCUUCGAUCGAGACGACCACCCCGACAAGGUAGUCACCCCCGGCGUCUACCCGCUCGUCGUCGACCCCAUCAUCGUCAACACUAGACUCUCGAAGGUGCUGAUGGAUGGCGGCAGCAGCCUGAACAUCAUCUACCUUGAGACCCUCGACCUCCUCGGCAUCAACCAGGCACAACUCCAGCCGAGCGUGGGCAGCUUCCAUGGUGUCGUACCUGGAAAGAAGGCAUUGCCGGUAGGUCGAAUCGACUUGCUGGUCUGCUUUGGCAUGAUGGCCAAUUUCAGAAAGGAGACCCUCACCUUCGAGGUGGUGGGAUUCCGAGGCACGUACCACGCCAUCAUCGGGCGCCCGGGCUACGCCAAGUUUAUGGCUAUCCUCAACUACACCUACCUGGAGCUGAAGAUGCCCGGACCCAAGGGCGUCAUCACCGUCAGCUCCUCCUACGAGCACAUGUACGAGUGCGACGUCGAGUGCGUCGAGUAUGGGGAAGCUAUCGAGAGCUCCACUGAGCUCGCCUCGAAGCUCGAAGCCCUGGCCGCAGAGGCUCUAGAGCCCAAGCGCCACGCGGGCAGCUUCAAGCCGGCAGAAGGAACGAAGAAGAUCCCGCUCGACCCCAACAACUCCGACAGCAAGGUGCUGACGAUCAGCGCCGACCUUGACCCCAAAUAGGAAGCCGUGCUCGUCAACUUUCUCCGUGCAAACGCCGACAUGUUUGCAUGGAAUCCCUCGGACAUGCCAGGCAUAACGAGGGAAGUCGCCGAGCACUCCUUGGAAAUUCGAGCCGGUUCCAAGUCAGUGAAACAACGGUUGCGUCGCUUCGACGAGGAGAAACGCAAGAUCAUUGGUGAGGAGAUCCACAAGCUUUUGACGGCCGGAUUCAUCAAGGAGGUUCACCAUCCCGACUGGUUAGCAAACCCUAUACUAGUUAAGAAAAAGAAUGGGAAAAUGAGGAUGUGUGUCGAUUAUACAAGUUUGAAUAAAGCAUGUCCAAAAGUUCCUUUUCCAUUGCCACGUAUCGAUCAAAUUGUUGAUUCUACUGCGGGAUGCGAAACCCUUUCUUUCCUUGAUGCAUAUUCUGGUUACCAUCAAAUAAAAAUGAAAGAGUCCGACCAGCUCGCGACAUCUUUCAUCACGCCUUUUGGGAUGUACUGUUAUGUAACCAUACCGUUCGGGCUUCGAAACGCGGGAGCAACAUACCAGCGAUGCAUGCUCCACGUGUUUGGCAAACAUAUAGGGUCGACGAUCGAGGCAUACGUUGACGACAUCGUCGUCAAGUCAAAGAAACGAGGAGACCUGAUUCAGGACCUCGAGAUCGCUUUCAGUUGCUUACGCGCCAACAAGAUCAAGCUCAACCCCGAGAAAUGCGUCUUUGGUGUACCUCGAGGCAUGCUCCUAGGAUACAUAGUCUCCCAACGUGGCAUCGAGGCCAAUCCCGAGAAAGUCUCGGCCAUCACAAGAAUGGGGCUGAUCCGAGACGUCAAGGGAGUGCAGAAAGUCACGGGAUGUUUGGCGGCGCUAAGUCAUUUUAUCUCGAGGUUGGGAGAAAAGGCGUUGCCACUGUAUCGGCUCUUGAAAAAAGCCGAGCGUUUCUCUUGGACCCCUGUUGGGUAUUUUAAACGCAAACAGAAAAAUCCGCAAGCGCACGGAUACCGAUGUAGCCUUCACCCGGGAGUAUUCCAGAGUAUCGAUUUUCCACAGGGAACGUGAGUGUACUAAUUAAGAUCCAAGAUCGCCCAAGGAUAACUAUAUAAUUAUUUUUGGUAGGAAGAGAGGAAGUUUCCUGAGAGUUCUCUAGUUGAUCUAAGAAUCAAGAAUUACUUCAAGAUUAUCUAUUUCGGGACAUCAGAACACUAACCACAGAAAGAGAUGAGAAGGGGGCUAGGAAGGUCUGACUACGGUCCUACAAACACCGAUCCGAACAAGGUGGAAUACAUCGACUGAUAGGGCUGUCACUACCCAAGGGCUACCACAACUAUCCGCAGGAUUGGGUGCAAUUCCAGGUAAUUGCAAGACUAAACACCACGUCUAAUCUUUUAAUUACUACUCUAGCGUAUCAAAGACUAGAGCACUUGAUGCAAGCGGGAAUCCAAUAGAUAACUUGAAUGUAAAUAAAAAUAAUUAAAGUACUCAGGAAUUAUGAAUUGAAGAACCUGGAGAACGAUGAAGAACGAACCAGUUGCUGCAAAAGUACAAUGUUGAGGAAGAUCCGACAGAUCCGGCUCCUCCUCCUCCGCUCUCCUCUUCUCUCUCCCUAUUUUCUAGAUUACAACUAGAACUAACUAGAACUAUAACUAGAUGAACAAGAACUAGAACUAGAGGAACUAGAGGUAGAACUAGAAGAACUAGAGGGAUCCUCUCUACUUGGAUGAAGAAUUGAAACCCUAACUUUGAUUCUGUAGAAGAGGUAUGAUCUCCAGGGGCCAGGGGGCCUUGCUUAUAUAGUCUUUUCAAAUGAAUCUAGGCUGUUGGAUCAAACCGACAUUGAUUGAAUGGUUAUCCUUGAUCCUUUAGGUCGGUGGAGCAAUAUCCCGAAAGAGAGUCCUGAUUGGACUCUAUGUGAGGGCGGGCGCCCAGGAGAGUAGGGCGGGCGCCCUGUCCCUGAGUCCUCUCGGCCUCCGCUUCGUUCCCGUGGCUUCUGGAGUCUUCUAGAUGAUAGAAGAUUGCGCGGUAUGUUAAUAUCUCUAUGUAAACCCGACGUGUGGUCCUUUCUUCCGUAUUUCCUGAUAACCCCCUACAGAAAUAGACAAACACCAAAACUCGUGGAAUUCUGUCAGAUAAAACCCUAAGUCUGGGUGUUGGUUGCAUUUGGAUCCUUUUCCAUGAUUAGUUGAUGGUUAAAUGUGAGCAUUAAGGACCGUCAACAAGCUCCCCCAAGCUUAACCUUUGCUCGUCCCUGAGCAAAUAUGAACUCAAGAGUUUCUGCAGUGGUUUCAUGCUUUAAAGGUACACAUGCAUUCAAACAAGAUCUCAUCUCUGUGUUAGGGUAAACUGUUAAGAUUUAAUCUUACUCAUUUUACCUUCCACCAUGGGGCUUGCAACCGUCACCUGUGUCUUGAGUAGUUAAAAGAUAGAACGGUCUAGUCAAGCGCCAUGUCUCUUGUUCUUCGAUUAACUAUAGCUCUAGAGUUUUUUUGUAGAUUUUCAAAUAAAACUCAGAGAUUCCUUGUAUGGCUCUCUGUAGUCUCUCUUUUGUGGUAUUUCUGGAUCCUUACCAAGGCAGUAAUGGUGUAUGCCUUCUCUCAAAGUAUGUGGUAUUUUUGUUAUGAGGCAUAGUGACAUUGCCUUCUCUCUCACCCUACUCUAAUAAGUUUUUGAUAUCUGGAGCUCAUAGGUGGGAGACAGCUAAUACAUACUUACAAGACAUUUAUUGCAUAGUCAAACCGUGGAUCCAGAAGAACAAGUCAAUAAGUCAAAAAUAGAAAAUUGUGCGGCACAUUAUUAUCUCUAUGUAAACCCGACGUGUGGUCCUUUCUUCCGUAUUUCCUGAUAACCCCCUGCAAAAAUAGACAAACAACAAAACUCGUGGAAUUCUGUCAGAUAAAACCCUAAGUCUGGGUGUUGGUUGCAUUUGGAUCCUUUUUCAUGAUUAGUUGAUGGUUAAAUGUGAGCAUUAAGGACCGUCAACAACCCCCGAAGCCGAGGAAGCCCUCGAUAACUUGAAGAAAACACUGACCUUUGCCCUGGUCCUGGUCCCACCUCAACCCGCAGAACCUCUGGUUCUGUACGUUGCCUCGAUGACCCAGGUCGUCAGUGCGGCAGUAGUGGUCGAGAGGCAGGAAGAGGGGCAUGCGCUGCCAGUCCAGAGGCCGGUCUAUUUCGUCAGCGAGGUACUCUCAGAGACCAAGGCACGGUAUCCACAAAUCCAGAAGCUAAUCUACACCGUGAUCCUCGCCCGACUCAAGUUGCAACACUACUUCCUCGGCCACCCUAUCACGGUGGUCUCGUCCUUCCCCUUGGGUGAGAUCAUCCAAAGUCGGGAGGCUACGGGAAGAAUCGCCAAAUGGUCGGUCGAGCUCAUGAGUGAGACCCUCACUUACGCGUCCCGCAAAGCUAUCAAGUCUCAAGCUCUGGUGGAUUUCGUCGCGGAAUGGACGGACUCCCAGCUCCCCCCCGACUCAAGUUCAAGCGGAACUAUUGACGAUGUAUUUCGACGGGUCUCUCAUGAAGACGGGAGCUGGGGCAGGCCUGCUAUUCGUCUCGCCUAUGGGCGUUCAUAUGAGGUAUGUCAUCAGGAUACAUUUUGCUGCAUCCAACAACGUUGCGGAAUACGAGGCCCUUGUCAAUGGGCUGAAGAUCGCCAUCGAGAUAGGAGUUUGGCGCCUCGACGUCCGAGGCGACUCCCAACUCAUCAUCGACCAAGUGAUGAAAGCCUCUAACUGCCACGACCCAAAAAUGGAGGCAUACUGCAAGGAGGUACGUCGGCUCUAGGAUAAGUUCCACGGCCUGGAGCUCGUCCACAUCGCCCGACGCUACAACGAGGCAGCCGACGAACUCACUAAGAUCGCGUCAACUCGAGGCAAGGUCCCGCCCGAUGCAUUCUCGAGGGAUCUGCACGAGCCAUCCGUCGACUUAGGCUCGGGGGCUGACGUCGAAACCACCGCCCUCCCACAAACCGACGCCAUCGAGGCACUGCUAGUGGCAGCAGAAGUAAUGGAGGCAGAACAACGACCCAGUCGACCGUUCGACUGGCGCACGCCGUUCCUUGACUGCCUGAUUCGAUGCGAGCUACCAGAAGAUCGAUUCGAGGCCCGCCGUAUCGCUCGACGGGCCAAGUCAUACGUAAUCUAUGGCGAAGAUAAUGAAUUAUAUCGACGAAGCCCGACAGGAAUCUUGCAGCGUUGCAUCACCAUAGAGGAAGGCCGAAGGCUCCUCAAGGAUCUACACUCAGGGGCUUGUGGCCACCACGCUGCUCCGCGGACCCUCGUAGGGAACGCUUUCCGACAAGGCUUCUACUGGCCAACGGCCGUAGCUGACGCCAUCGAGCUCGUACGCUCGUGCCAUGGGUGUCAAUUUUACGCCAAGCAGACGCAUCUUCCCGCCCACACUCUCUAGAUGAUCCCCAUCACGUGGCCGUUCGCGGUGUGGGGACUCGACCUAGUAGGGCCUCUACAGAAGGCAGCAGGAGGAUACACCCAUUUGCUGGUGGCCAUCAACAAAUUCUCCAAAUGGAUCGAGGCUCGACCCAUCAUGAACAUCCGCUCUCAGUAGGCCGUCCUUUUCUUCACCGACAUCAUCCACCGGUUUGGGAUUCCCAACGUCAUCAUCACCGACAAUGGCACUCAGUUCACCGGCAAAAAGUUCUUGGACUUCUGUGACCGGCAUCACAUCCGUGUGAACUGGUCCGCAGUGGCCCACCCUCGAACUAACGGCCAGGUCGAGUGUGCCAAUGGUAUGAUUUUGCACGGGCUAAAACCAAGAAUCUACAAUCGGUUGAAGAAAUUCGGCAAGAAAUGGGUCGAAGAGCUCUCUUCAGUCCCAUGGAGCUUAAGGACAACGCCUAGCAGGGCCACGAAAUAUACCCCAUUCUUUAUGGUCUACGGCUCCGAGGCCGUGCUUCCAAUAGACCUCGAGUAUGGGUCUCCUCGACUCAAAGCCUACAACGAGCAGUCAAAUAAGGAGACUCGAGAGAACGCGGUCAACCAGCUCGAGGAAGCUCGAGACAUAGCCCUCCUCAACUCCGCCAGGUACCAGCAGAAACUUCGACGCUACCACGACAAGCACAUACGCAAAAGGGAUCUGAACGUGGGUGAUCUUGUUCUACGGCGGUGGCAAAGCAACCAAGGGUGCCACAAACUGACUCCGCCCUGGGAGGGCCCAUACGUGGUGGUCGAGGUCCUGAAGCCAGGGACAUACAAGCUCGCGGACGAAAAAGGGGCAGUCUUCACCAACGCGUGGAACAUCGAACAGCUACGUCGAUUCUACCCCUAGAAUUUCAAAGUUUAUGUUCCCAUGUACAUCCUAUACCGAGACCUUACGAAUGAAUGCAUGAAUGAAUAAGAUCUUUCCCUCGAAUAAUUUACCUUUUCAUUGGUCAAAAUCUCGACGUUAGAAGGGAGUACUAACUAUGACCCAUCAUAGUCGAUACCCCCUCGGGGGCUAGCAGGGGGGAUCCCCCCAAGUGUCUAAAAAACCAAGCAAUUUUUUCUUUCCUAUCAGUAAACCUCGCACGGUCGAGUAGUAGAGGCACCUCGAGCCCCUUAAGGGCCAACAGACGACAAGCCUGAGAACUCCUACGCCCCUGGGCUAUGGUAACUCUACUCGCUCCCUCACCCUCGAGGCAAUCGGGGUCGCCUUAACAAAAGACUGAACAAGGAGUACAGACAUAGGCAGAAAGGAAACAAAAGAGAGUACGAACAUAGGAAUAAGCAAAUAUUCACAAACCUUAUAAACCACUUAAAAAUACAGCAUUUCCUUAAGACAAAAAUACUGUACAAGGGGCCUUAGCACCCAGUAUAGGCUCGCAGGCCUCAGUCUGUGUCACGGCCCUCACCACCCUCAUCCACGCCCGAGCUAGUCUCGGGAGGAAGCACUUCCGGCUCGAACAGCUUCGCCAGCCUUUCCCCAGGGGCCUCCGCAUCAUCGAUCAAGGCAUGGAGCCUCUCCUCGUUCUCUGCGUAGGUCUUGGAGAUAUCGGUGACGAAGCCAUGGGACACCACCUCCAUAUUGUAAGAAAAGCCUGAGCAAACAACCACCAUUGCCCGCUUCACUACGGUAUGAAGAGCGUCCCACACUCGAUCCCUCAGCGUCGCGCCUAGGUAGCAUAGCUGAUCGACCAGUGCGUCACCUCGAGCCGCGUCCCUUGACUCGUCCACAGGCUUGAGGUCCCAGGAGGCCGAAAGAUCGCUUAUCGCGGUCCGUAGCCGACCGUUCAAAGCGACCUCCCCCUCGAGCUGAGCCUUGGUGGAGCGGGCCUCGACUUGAGCAGCUAGCAGCUCGUCUUUAAUCCCUACAAAGGCCGACAUAGAGAAGUUAGAUAACACAAAGCACACCCCGGGAAAGAAACACAAUGGUAGAAACAUACCACAAAUUUUCUCCUCCAGAGCCAUAUUCACGCCAACCAAAUCAGAGUUGGCCCUCUCGAUCUCCCUAUGAGAGCGGACCAGGUCAGUAUUGGCGACCCGCAAGUCCUCGAUCGCCUUGCUCGCCUGUGCGAUAGCUCCAUCUUUCUCCAGCAACGCUCUCUUGAGACGUUCGACGUCAUUAGAGUGGCUGCGAGAUCGAACCCGCUCCGCCUCGAGAUCCUCGAGGGCCUUCUUCUUGGCCUCCUCUGCGGCGCUCUGGGCAAUCUCGCCCCUCACACACUCUGUCUUCAUCUUUUGGAAGGAUUCUCGGGCAGAGGCGAGGUCAGCCCUGAGGAGGCCCUUCUCCUUGUCUUGGUCAGCGGCCGUGUCCUUGUAAAACACGGCCUCUUCCCGGGCCUUGGACGCGGCCUCCUCGACCGUCAUGGUCCGCUCCCUCAGCAGCGUGGCCUCUUCCACCGCCUUCCUCGAGGCCUCCCGAGCUUCAGCCAGACCGGCCUCCCUAUCCUUCUUCUCCUCCUCGAGCGCCAAAAGCUCCUUGUAAGCCUUGAGGAGCUUCUCCUGCAACUCCAGGAGUUGAUCCUUGAGGAGAGGGAGUUGCUCCCAGCCGCCCCUUGUCGCGUGGAUAAAGCUCGACUUUAUAUGAGAGGUCUCUUUCAGAUCCUACGAGUCAGCAAUUGGACAGUAAGAACACAAAACCAAACGUCCUAUGGUAAUUAAGGCCCAAAGAUACUUACAAAGUAAGCCGGACCGAGCCCAUUGUUGACGACGUCGGACAUGAGCCCCACCACAUGCUUCAUCCAGAGGCGAAGCUCCUUGAGAUGCUCCCACUUUUUGGCCUCCUUCUGAUCAUCCAAAAAGAUGUUAGGCUCGGACGGGUCGGUGGAAGCUCGAAUGCGGAUCCGAUCGGGGCACCAGUUUUCCAUCUCCUCCUCCGCGCGCGCCUUGACACCCCGGAUGAGCUCUUGGACGGCCUCAAGCGACCCCCCGUGACGCAAAAACAGGUCAAUGAGGGAGGGGAAUCUCCCGUCAUCAUCCACGGUCUUCCAAGUCCCGGUAUCGCUGGCACCACUGCCGCCCGACGUCCCGGCUUCAUCUUCCUCGGUGAGAAUGCGAUCCUCCCACGAUCGACGAUCUCGAAGGAAUCUAGGAGCUAUCCCCUCGAUGCCGUAGAUUGUGCCCUUGAUCUCGAACUGAGGGUCCUGUGCCCUUGAUCUCGAACUGAGGGUCCACCAGGGUGCGCAUCAUGCAGGCAAGCACCACCACCCGUCCGCGCGCCCUGGCUCAGCCGGGAUAGAAGGGGUCGCUCCCGGACAGAGCCACGCAGGGGUCGGCGGACCAUAGACCGGUAGACCCUCCUCCGUGGUCUCAGGCUCUUGUGGCGUUGGCGGCACUGGCUGGGGUGGACUAUGUGGUGGUGGCUCGAGCAGUUCCUCUAACUGCUGGCUCCUCUGCUGCUGCUGCUCCUGGAGCUCCCGCAGCUCCUGCUGCCGGUCCUGCUCCAGUAGCUCCUCGAGCUAGGCUCCUUCUGGCCGCCGCCCCUCCUCUCCUUCUUCUCCUUCCUGUUGCGGCUGCUGCUGCCCCUCCUACAGUUGUUGCUGCGUCUCCCGCUCGCGUUCUUCCUCUCCUCUCUUCCUCUGCUCCUCGAUGGAGUGGAGCCCGAUGGGCCAAGGCGUCCGCUUCACGACGGGAGAAGCCUCGACCUCCUCGUCCAUGGGGCGGGCGUCCUUCGAAGGCCUGUCGCCGCCGGACCCGUUACUUAUUAUGAUAGGAUCCCCCUCGACCCCAGAUCGGGGAGGCUCGGGGGCUCCCUCCUGCUCUUGGGGGCGAGGCGCCUCGACCCGCUUCGGCGACGGCGGGGUGGAAUCCCCCACCAAUGGACGAGGCGGGGCGCUCUCGACACCAGUCGACGGCCAAGGAUCGGAGAAGCCUGUAAGCACUCAAAAGAAAAAAGUCAAUCGCCAUGAUGAUCGACAUAAGGGCAACACGACUCUCAUGAUGACGGGAAUGAACCGCUAACCUGAGUCUUUGGAGGCCACUCCCACCUUAAGCCUCUUGGCCAUCGAGGGCUGGGCCUGUUCGAGCGUCUGUUUCAGCCUGAGGAGAGAGAAACAAGCGUAAGAGAAGCUGUUACCCGAGAAAAUGCAAAGACAUCGGAGGGUGAGAAUCAUAACAUCGAAAAUCUUACCCCACAGGAAGGGCGACCCGCCUACCGGCGCCUCGACCAGCAGGCCUCGAGCCACCUCGCGUCGAGGCUCCGGGCCCCUCACGAACGGGCACAAGUCUCGGCUCGGCGUCUCCAGCCUGGCCAGCGCCCGGACUGGUACUCCCGCGACCCGUUUCCCCCUUAGUCGAGGCCAUCCCCUCGGAGUCGUCGCUGUCAUCGUCGCCAUCGCCGCCAUCAUCCUCAUCGGGGGAUUCUUCCUCAGGCUCCCCCCUCUGCCUGGACUUCGCUAGACGAGUCUCCAACGCAUGUCGCACGAGAUUUUUCUUCUUCUCCCCCUUCUUUUCCAAGUCCUUUGUGGACUUCAGCUUCUCCGCGGACUCGCGCCUCUUGUCACGAUCCAUGUCGUCCUCCUUCAUCGGAGGCUUUGAAGAUCGAGCGUCGAUCGAUCCCUGCACGAGCAAAAAUAAGUCUUAGACAAGGUCGAAGGAAAUCGAGAAUCGGAACCGUAAACAGGAAAAUAACUUACCAGGUCGAUCGACCCCUGAUCGGGUCUCAUAGGGAAGCCGUUGACGUGCUCAGGCUGAAAAUCGCCUGCAACGGCCGCCCUAACCCUGGCGGCGACCUCAUCGUCCGCAGGCGCUUCGUUAGACAUCCGGCAAGCCUCAAGAGCGCGAGACGAGACGCCAGGGCCCAUCUCGUCCAUCCUCAACGGCCGAGACAUCAACGGGAGCACUCGUCGGUGAUUUACGGCGGAAAGGACGAGCGCGGCCAUCAAGCCCUCCUCACGCAACUUCUUCAGGGCGUCGAGAAUGGGGUCGAGCCGCGGCUAGUGGGCUUGGACAACGCCGUACCUCUAGUGGUCCGGACGCUCCGAGAUCAAGCGCCCGGUGUAGGCGGGGACGAGGUCGUCGUCGUUCCGUAAGUAAAACCACUAGGAGUCCCAUCCGGCAUGGUUCGACGUCAACCCCACCGGGAUGUACUCGCGUGGCUUCUCCGACUUGCUAGUCUUGAGCACCAGGUUGAGGCACCCAGCCCGUACCGGCUUCCUCACUCCUGCAGUUCCGCUGGGGGCGUUGAAGAGCUCGCCCCGGUACAAGUGGAGCCACAAAUCCCAGUGAGGCAUCAUCCCCAGGUAGCUCUCACACACCGCGGCAAAAACCGCCGCAAUGGUGACGGCGUUCGGCGAAAAAUGCUGGAGCUCCGCCCCGUAGUGGUGGCAGAGCGCCCGCAUGAAACGACUCGGAGGAGAGCCCAAGCCGUGGCGGUGGAACUUGGCAAAGGAGACCACAUAGCCCUUGGACAGCCUUGGCUCCCGGUGAUCCGCCGCCGGCACGAUCCACUCUGGCCGCGAAGACGAAGUGCAGGGGCGCAGGAGUCCCUCCCUCUCGAGCUCCAACAGCCGGCGCUCCGUCAUCGACGACGGGCGCUAGUCAUCGGCGGCGAUGAGUCUCACCGGCAUUUUCAGGUGGGAGAAGGGCGACUUCACUACUACUCGAGGGUACGCACGCGCGAGAUGGCAAGGAAGCAGAGGCAAGAACAGGGGCAGAAGGCGGAAGGAGCGACGACAGGAAGACCACAAGACAUUUAUAGACGGCAACCCACCAACGGACGGAUCCAACGGAUACGGUAACUCCUCCAAUAAAUGCGCCACCUAACGGUCCUUAUCUCUCUCACAGAUGGGACGCUACGAAUUCCGUGCCGGUACAGUGUCGCAACGGCUCCUGCCUAAAAAGGCGCGCCCAACAGGCAAAAAGGCGAACCUACGUGAUCUUUUCCUUCCCCUGUAAGCCAAGGUACAUAUUCAUGAGAACCUCGAGAGGUCGCAGGCUGACCCAUCGAACAGGUUCGACAGCCAAUCUCGAGUAACCAAGUCAGGAUGCCCAGCGAGCGGUCGAAAAAUGAGGCCCACCUCGAGGACUCGCUGGGGAUGUCCAAGGCGAGGACGAGAUGGUCAAAAGGAAUCCCCCCAAAGGGAGGCAUCGAGCUGCUGGACUCUAUCGAACGAGACCAGUAACCCCGACCACGUCGACCCCGCUUUAUGAGAACGCCUCCGGGCUACAGCUGACCUCCUCGAAUGGGGCACGGGUUCUCACUUGGAUUACCCGCUAGGAGCUCAAUCUGGGGUAGAUGACACUCGCUCCACCGGGAGUACGUCGUGACCCCUGCGUGAAACAAACAAAUCAAAGCCCUCCACGAUGGACAUCGAGAGCGCUUCCGCAGAUUAGGCAAUACAACCCUCGAAGGAGUCAAAAACUCCUCCAAGGGCUCGGGGGCUACCCCCGCGGGGUCGCUCGCGCGCCCCCACGGAAACUCGACCACAAAAAAGAGCCUCCACUCGAGUGCAAGCACUCGAAUAGAGACUCGGGGGCUACUGUCGAGGAUAUCAGUAAGGGGUACCCUAACUGAUGUACAUACACUACAAGAAACUUGCUAAUCCGUGACGAUUUCUCGGUGAUGGAUUUACAAACUGUCACUAACAACCACUGACAGAUGUAAUUCGUGACGAUAUUAAUUUUUUCGUCAAGGAUGAGCCCACUGGAUAUUCCCAACCCGCUAACUAGUGACAAUUUUAUCAGAUCGUCGCGGUGUAUGGAUUUCGAAUUCGUCAUACUCUAGUUGGCCCAAAACAAUAUGCGCACUAUCGGUGUUUAGUGCAAAGAAAAAUAGAAAAUAUGAUUGCAAAAGGUAUCAAACCGAAAAGACAAUCCGAUAAACUAUUGUAACAAAAUAAUUUUGUUAUUACUUGUAUUUUGUUGGGAUAAUUUUGUUACAGGCAUAUAUGGCAAAACUAAAAAUAUAUUCCAUUUGCACAUGGAAACAAAAAAUUGCACCUACGUGAGAUUUCCAUUUGAGCUAGUAUUUGUAUUUGUUUACUGGCCUAGCAUCACGGUAGGCCGCCUCAGCCAUUCACUCGAGUUUAUGCGCGUCGACGACAUGGCCUUGGUCCAUUUUGUAAACACAAAUAAAAAGUGCAGCCCAUAUAAAUUGAACCUGAAACACUUGACUUCGUAGCGGUGUGCCUUACCACUGCGUUAUGCACACUAGUGUGACAACUUAUUAUUUGAAGUUUAGUAAGCACAAUACUAGGCCAGCAAACAUUACAACUUUUUUUUAUAAAAAACAUUAUAAUUAUAAAUUUUGAAAAAAAAGUUUGCAACGUCCAUCAAAUAGGAUAAUUGUUUUUUUUCAAAAAAUUACUGGCCCAGGCUUCGAACCCAGAACCAGCCCUACAAAACCAAAAUGCCAAACCACUGCACUACUCACUUGUUUGUGUUGUCUUUUAUUAUUAUAAUAUUUAUUUAGUAUACACCUUCCUUAUCAUCCUCCUCGGACGACCGUUCAUUCACGACCUUCACUUCGACUCUCGCAGCGCCGCCGACGGCGACUAUCAGAGCGCGAGCCCAAGAGCUCCGACUCUUUUCUCGUCUCGGACGUGCUGUUGCUCCUGGACUUGCUCUCCUCCUCCUGCUGUUGCUUGCCUGCCAUUGCCCGGCCCGGAGAGAAUGACAGGGACGCCUACCAGGUCAACCUCCAGGCCUUGUCAAUGGCGGAUGCGGCCGGUCCUUGGCCCCACAAGGCGCCUCCGCGUGCUCCCUCCCACGAACGUGAUGUACGCGAAGAACGGCUUGAAUCGAGAAUCUGAAUAAAAGUUUUUGUAUUUUCAAUUAAUCUGCUUGUAAAUACUUGAAGAACAAGAGCAAGAACAUGAACCAAAGCUUUUUCUGUUUUUAAUCUGAAGCAAAAAUUUGUAACCAGUUUUUCUCACUCAUUCUAACUCCAAAUGGUAUGUUAUUUUUUUCUAUUUUUUUCUAAAAUCAUGAUCUAUCAACUGAAAACAUGCUUUUUAAGAAAUUGUUAUAUCUUAGUUCUUCAUAUAUGGCUUAUUUUUCCAUCCAUUCAUCACUUUUAUCUUCAAAUAUAACAUAAAAUAAUUUUAAUAAUUCAAAACUUGGUUAGAAAAUCCUCUAAACUUGCAUAAUAACAUAUUUUUAUGUAUAAUGUUCUAAUAAAAAAAUCAAAUAAUUUUGAAAAAGAGGUACCAUACAUUGUCUAACAAAUGGUAUAUCUCUCACACAAACUACAUGAGACAUAUACCAUUUGUGAACAAUGUAUAGUCUCACUUUCAUAAAAUGGCUUGAAUUUUUUUAUGACAAGCAUAUACACCCACAUUAUGCCGCCAUAUCAAUUCUUAACAUUUUUAGUUUACUUUACGAUAUUAUUGUUUUUUUCUUUGAAGUCAUCAAAAUAGUAGUUCGAGCAAUGUCUAACAAAACACUUAAUUUUCCAUUGAUUUUGAGGAAGUGAGCUCAAAUACAACAUGCCUUAUUACCUAUAUAUUUUUCAAAAUUUUUGGAUAUUGUUAGAUAGGACGUGUAGUUCAAGUUGAAGUUAUUUUCAAAAAGCAUUCAAUAAUGCAUUUAAACUGUAGAAAAUAGUAAAUCGGUUUCAUUUUUUUGAAAAUUCUAUGAGAGGACAUAUAUGCAGUCUAUUUCAUUUUAAAAAUAUAUUGGGUACAUGAAUAUAAUUGGCUUAAAAUGUUUACUUUACAAGAUUGCUUAAUCAAUGGAAAAUAAGAAAUACAUAAUUAGUAAAGUGCUCCUGUCUAAAACUCGUUAAAUAUUAGGCCCAGCGUCCUGGGCGUGGGCCGCGUAUUCGCGGUAGGCCUCAUAACCCGCCAGCCUGCUCUGGAUUUCCUGAAUCUGAACCAUCCAAUUUUGAUUGACGGCCACGAUUGUAGCAGUAGCGCAUAAAACUGUCAUCCCCGUGAGCUUCCCAAACCCUAAAUUUCGUUUUUCCUCAGUCUUCACUCCCCAGCCUAACUCAGGAACGCGCCGCUGCUGGCCUGCCGCUCCCCCAUCGACCCUACCGUCGUACCGCCAUGGCCACGGUGCCCUGUUCCACCCACAGAGACAUCUCCAUGCCACUCCUCUCGUGUGUCCUAGUUGUGCUACAGGCACUGCUGCCGUCGCGGGAAGCGAGCCCCGCCGUCGUCGCGCAGCUGUCUGCAGGCGCCGCCACCGCGCCGUCGCAGGGCGCCGCCGGCAACGGGGGAGAUAGUGCAGCCGCUUCCUGCUGCUUUUCCAUGCGAGCGAGUUGAGGGCAGCCGCACGCACCGACGCACAGGCUCGUGAAGUCCCGAUCCGUUCUGAACACAUGGUGGGUGUCCGUCAUUUUGCGUGGCUAUCCACUAAAACUAACUAUAAUAAUAAGUUGGGUGUGCGGCAGCAUAUUUCCCAUGAUUUUUGAAGUCUUUUAGCCAAGAUAUGUUUUUUUAGUGGCUUUUAGCAAAGGCCACAUUCUAACGAUGUCUCAUAGCCAAUUUUGUCUUUUUUUCUGUUAAUGAUUUGCUUCAUGAAUGAGAUUAUGUGAUGCAGACUACGGUGCUGAGUCAUUUUCGUUGGAUGCAGACUAUGAUGCUUCGGCCUUUUCUUUUUAUUCUCUGGUUUAUAUGGAGCAUACUUGUCUGUCACUUAAGCAAUAGUAAUAGCUUGACAUAUCUUAUUCUGUCCUUUUUACCAACUACUAGAUAAAUGCUUGCCAUGUGCUGAAUCUUGUUUCCUAAAAGCAUAUGUGUUGUUCACUUUGUGGAAAUUUGGUUUGAAAGCGUAUAUGUUGCUGCCUAUGUAUUUUGUGGUAAACUGAAUUAUCCUGAAAUCAUAUAAAAGUGUCUAUCUAAAUACUGAAUUUCCUCAAAUUUUUAGACAGAGUUUGUUCCUGAUGCUUUGUUUGUUGAUCCUAAAUAGGCAUUACAUUCUCUUGGCAGUAGAAUGAUAUUUUUCCUGAUGUUGGGUUCUCAACUGAUGUUAAUGUUGAUGGCUGGACUUAGGAGCUCUCUAAAAUUUCCAUUUGGCAUGUGUAUGUGCUCAUUUAUUCUUCAGUUGGGUUGCAGCAUGUUGUUACAUGGGCAUGUCGAGAUAGUAAAUGCCUAGACGUGUUUCAUGUCGUGCAGAUAAUACAAGCAGCUCUGUUAUGUGGUUAUUUUUUUUGUUUUCGAUCUGGACCAGGUUCACUAAAUAUAAUUGGUUUUAACUGGCUGCUGCAGUAUCUGAAGGAGAAAGAAGACGGCGCCCAACGCCUCUGCUCCAAAGCAGGCACCACAGAAGCAGAAUUGUCCUGCUGGCUGUGAUCCGAAAUGCCAGUUUGAAGUGUUCUAGAGCCAGAUCCACUGGUACGCACGGUUCACCUCCCUGUUCCCUGUUUCACCCACCGGUAUGUACGCACUUAUUUUCACUCUACCCAUUAGUGAUGUUUAGAUCUGUAUAAGAUUCAACACGCUGUGAUACUGGGUAUAUCUAUUUUUCAUGUAGUACUUUAGUAUUAUCUAUUUUGAGAUUAAACACGCUGGUUUUAACCUACAACUACCAUAUUGAACAAAACUUACUUGUGACAAAUCUUUUAGAUAAAAUUUGAACUCAACAUUGUUUAUAUCAACAUAGUUUCUUUGUUUGAUUCUGAAAGUGCUAUAACAUUUGGUGAGCUUGUGCACCUUACUAAGAUGCUUUAAAUUCUAAUCUUCUCUGAAAGUAUCUUACUAAAAUGGUUUAAAUUCUAAUAUUCUCUGAAAGUGCAGAUCUGGAACAUUUGGUGAUACAUUGUGUUGCUGAAACUUGACAUAUUCUGCUGCUGCAACUUGAUGAACUAUGCUACUGCAACUUCAUAUAUGGAUGCUGCUGCUGCAACUUCAUGCAAUUUUGGGAACCUGUAAUUUGUUGGUGGCUUAUGUGCCAUGGUGCAUUGCACGAUGUGGUGCUUUAUGUAACUUUGUAUCUCAUCUUAUGAGAAUAAACUUGAGAUCUUAUGGUGCUGGAUUGAGUUCUUAUAUAAAUAAAAUUGAAUUGUUUGUCUAUGUGGGCUGUAUAUUUGUAUUUGCAAUAGUAAUGGGCUGUAUGUUGUAUAUGCUAUAAUAAAUAGCUGAGAAAAUAAAAAAUGGCUGAAUUCAACAUGUAAAUUUUCUGAAUGCCAAAUAAAAAUAGGCUGAUUGGAAAUGGGCUGGAAAUACGUCAAAAUUGGGUUGAGAAUAAGCUAGAAAAUGGCCCAUUUUUAUGUUGGGCUGUUAAUAAGUGGGCCAAUAUGCCACACCAUCAUCCUUGUCAUCGUCCACAUCAUUAUCCAUGUAAGCAUCCAUGAUGAUAUGGCAUUUCAUUCGUGACGUUUACUUUUCGUCGCAGGGAAUGGACUUGGGUUGGGCUAACAGGGCCAUGGGCUCAAUGGUGAACGGUUUAAACCUGUCACCGAUUACUUUGAUCUGCGACGGUUUUUGAUAAAUCGUCGCGAGGUUUAAUCCUUGACGCUCAAUCCGUAACGAUCUGUGAAACCAUCACAGAUGCUACAUAGUGACAGUAUUUUGGUGAUCGGUGACAGAAAUUUUUUGUCACUGAUUAGCAAGAUUCUUGUAGUGAUAGUGAGAGCAUCCAUACGAAAGUCGAGGCCUCCGACUCGACGCCCCUCCCCAGUUGCACGCACGGUCCUCGACAAUCGUAGCCACGAACAUGGAAAGAACGUCCUGCGAAUCGACUAAGCCUCGAGCGCCGGCUACCAUCGAAUACGGAAACAGGCUCUUACGAAUCGAAAGGCCUCGAGCACAAGGACGUCGCCCGCCGCCUGACGCGGGCACGGGAACCAGGGCAUUUAAUGCGCCUGCCGUGUUCUCACCUAACCCGUCAGUCACGGGAAGCGUGAUAGGGAACAAGCACCCGUCCUAUCGUUCUUUUCGCAGCCUUCCCCACCAAACAAGCCAGAACAUGGCAGGGCGCAGUUAGUGGGUCGGAACGUCCAGUCAAGACCCCCCUCGAGACGCCCAAAGUCAGCGCUCUGGCCAGCAAGGCGUUACAUGGCACCUGACCCUCAAGUAGGCACGUUUGCUUCCUGAGGAAGGAUCGGGCGACGAAUGACAGCACUUCAACCACUCCGACGUAGCUGCUAUCGCGACAUACAAGCAUGCAACAGAUAAACCAGUCCAGGACGGCGCACAGGAGCGGGAUACAGGGGCAUGCGUAAUCAUUAUCAAGGUACCAAGACAAGACGGCUUGAGGCCACGCCGGUACGGAGGCCUCGAGUAGGUCAGCGCGCCGCACCCCUAUCGACCCCUACUCUAUUGCCUAUGCAUGUAACCUAGGCCUCCCCUUGGAACUAUAAAAGGGGAAGCCCAGGAGAGGAUACGGGGGACAAGAGAUAUACGCAUUAGAGCACUCAUACUCCCUCACCACCCAUCCACGCCUGUAUUCACCCCUGUACAAGCACUUGGGUGCAAGAUAAUACAAACUCUCCUCCCCCGCUGGACGUAGGGCCUUCUCUUGCCCAAACCAGGAUAAAUCUUUGUGUCUUUUCUUGCAUCACCAUCUGGAAAGGGGAGCACGCACACAAGUUUUACUCGUUGGUGUGACCCCCCGGGGGAAAACACCGACAAAUAAUAUAUAUGCAUACAUUCAUGAAAAAGGAAUAUCCUGGAUUUGUUUUGAAUGACAUAAUUAUAUAACAAUGGUCAUUUUUAAAUCCUAGUAGGACAUUCUGCUACCACUGAAGUGUAGUAGACUCAGGCACUAUAGUUCAUAGUGCUACUCUCAAGAAUGAGUAUACGACCAUAAUAAAUCUCCAAGGUCUUGUGGGACUCAAUGCAUGAAAUAUUUUAGAAGAUGUCCUGUAGUAUUGAAAAUGGAAUUUUCAAGCUUUACAUUACCCUAUGAGAUAUAUAUGCUGCUCUAUAAACAAAUACAAUUACCUAAAGUUUUGUAUUAAAUGUCAUAGAAGACAUGAUGGUAAAUAAGAUUUUGUUGGUGAAUAUUCUCGAAGAAAUUUCUCUUGUAUAUAGAAUAUCAAAGAGCAAUGUAAUAAAUGAAGUAUUUAACUUUAUCAUCAGAAAAUACUCAAAUAGAAGUUGAGUUAGAAUUUUUAGACAGCUUUCUGAAUCAGAAUAUAUGACUUGCAUAUGUUGUACUCCUAGAAGAAUCAUUAUUACAUAUCACUACUAUGAAAUAAAGCAUGCAUGAAGCUGCUAAAUAUCAAUCAUAGAAGUUAAGACAUGUAAGAAUGGGUAAUGAAUUUUUAAGGUUUCUCUAGAAGAAGAACUUAAAUUAUAUGCAUAUAUAUUUGUUUUGUCUUUAAAAUUACUAUCUAGAAGUAUUAGUGGUGGCAGUGCUUUAAGUUUUAAUUCUCGUUGAAUUAAGUAGAUUUUACAAACUCAUAGAAGAGUUAAUGGUGAUUUUAUUAGCUUGAAGACUAAUAUCAAGCAUUUAAUAUUCUUAGUUGCAAUUCUUACUUGCAGUGGUAUGUGUCAAUCUUACAUAGAAUGAAUUGGAAUUAUAUGUUUGACAUAUAAACAAUUGCCCAUUUUGCCUAUCUAAAUAAGUUUUGCAUUGUUUUAUCCACAAAGAAGCCUUAAUUAACCAUGAAGGUUGUAGUCUUUGUGCAUAACUAUCAUAUAGGUUGGAGGGAAACUGAAUUUCCUAAGCAUAAAAAUAAUUGGACUAUAAAAAAACUAGAAGUUUAUGUCCUACCCCAAAUAUGUUGUUGUACAUUGAAUAGUACACGUGACAUGUGUAUUUCAUGUCAUAACCAUUAAAUACUAGAAGUAUGAUUGAAUUAUAUGAAACAUUUGAAAUGAUUAUUCAUAGAUCAUAAAUCUUAUUACUACUUGAAGUAAUUAAGGCAUGAAAAAGGGGAGAAAUUUCAAGUAAAAGGCAAGACAUAAGAAAAUGUGGGUAAUAUAUAUUUAAUAGGCAUAGCCUUUCUAAAUCUAUCUUUAAGUGCAUGUAUAAGGACUUGAAGUUCUAGUCAUGUCUUUUCCGGCAGAAUUAACUUUCUCUACAUUGCACUAAUUGCAAGUAAGCUUGUUGCUUUGCAUUUUGUUAUCUAUUAUGUUGGAUUGAAUACCAACAUUCCAUGUUACACUUGAAUGUGUAUUACUAUGUUGUGCUCCCGUUGAGUUGCAAGUAUCUCCACUCCUGCAUGGAUAUUAGCAUAGAAGAAGCUAAAUUUAUAGCCAGUAGCUAUCUUGCACUCUUCCCAUAAUUAGGUUGGCUAGUUAGUACGCUAUGUCUAUAUAGUUCCUGUUGAACUAAGAAAUAUUUUUCUUUUCAUGUGUUGCAUACAUAAGCAAUAUAUUGGUCUAUGGCCAAGCGGCUUAAGAUCAGGGGGAGUGAGUUAAUCUGAAAUUAGCUAAAUAGAGAAGUAACCCAAUUGAAGGGAUGAAUUAUUGUGGAAUUAAGAUGGUGGAUAACUCUAGACGAUUUGGGAUUUAUUAAGAAAAGAUAUUUGAGGAUAUUGCAUUAAUGGCAAUUAGAAAAUUCUUGAAGAAAUUCCAUGUAAAUUUGAAUGUUGCAUAUUUAUACAUUUGAAGUAUAUGGUCCAUUUUUUUAUGUAUGAGUACUUGGAUCAAUUUUUUAGGAUAAAGAAUAAAGAAGCUAAAUAAUAAAAUAGUUUUAUAAACUAUGAUAUGUGCAAAUCAGGGGGAGAACAUCCUUGAUUUUGUAGGAAUAUUGAACAUUCUUAAGUGCACUUUUUAAAUUCUAGCUCACUGCAUAUAGUGUAUAAUAACCUAUAUGAAUGGGCCUCCACUUGUAGUGGAGAUACAUGAAUUUGAAUAAUUUUAAGCCUAUCAUAGGGGAUUUCUUUUGGAGUAUGCUAUUAAAGAUCUAAUAUUGGCAUUAGGGGGAGAGAAAUCCUAUGUUGAAUGCCAAAUAUUAUUUUCAUAGAAGGAAAAUGAUCUUAAGAGAAAAUAUUCCUUGAAGCUUGAAGCAGAAAUAGUAUCACGCACUAAAUCAAACAAUAGUUUGACUAAUGCUCUUGUGAAGCAUGAAGCAGAGCAUAUGCCAGAUAUUUUUGAAAAUGAGAGGAGUAAUUUGAAGUUAUAAACAAGAAGUGUAUACUAUGAAGCUAAAAUCUACGGGGACGUCUGUGCAUUCUAGUUUAGUGUAUACUGGUUAAAUGAAAUAAAAAUAAACUCCUCCAUUCUUAUGAAGAGAACAUCUCAUGAAGAAGGUUAGGCAUCUCAUGAAGAGGAUCAUCAUGAAGAUGAAAUCCAACACACUAAGCGCGCACAUUAUAGUGUUGGGAAUGCAGAACAAUAAAUUAUCUCUUGUUUAGAAAAUAACAAAGAGAUAGGAUAAUCUCACAUUGUGAUUAUUAGGAGAAAAUAAUAGUUGUCGACAACACUACCUCUAUAAUUGUAAAUGUUUCUCUUAUGAGAACCUAGAUCCAGAAAACAAAGUCCAUAGCAAAGUCGCUUGAAGCGAUUAUUGUUGGCAUUUCUUAGCGUCACUACUAAAGAUAGACUAUAAAUCCAUCAUUAGUAAUGGCACCAAAAAUGUCGGGUGUUGGUAUACCAUAACUAUCGUUACAUCAGAGAGAUAACCCAAGGCCUUUAACGGCGCUGGCCUUAGCAGUGCAAUCUGGUAACAAUAAUUAGGAAUGCCGAAUUGGCCAUCCUAACCAUCCUUACUUACGAUAUGCAAAGCUGUAGCACGGCGCCAGAUAAAUGCAGAGAGUUUACAAUCUUAAGUAACGGUCCUUAGGUACGCCAAUCAAUAGUUCAUGAAUAUAAAGAAUAAAACUGCAAGCGAACAAAUCAUUGUAGCAUUUCAACCCGUGAGUAUUCAAGGGUUAUCGUAUUUAAUCCCAUAGGAGUGCGUAACAAAUGCAUCUAGCUUGGUUUGUAGCAUGAUCACUUAUUGAGACGCAUAGGUAGACAUAGUCUAAUUAGGGGUCACGGCAGGCUCUUAAAAUAUAGAUAGUGGACACACUCAUCGGGGCAACCUCAAGGAAUAAAGAGAAAAUAAGGAAAUAAAAGAAAUAAAGAACAACUACUUGAGCCGGCAUUGAUCUUAUAUAACUAUGCAAAUAAUUGUUAGUAGAACAUCUAAUCAAUAUAACUAGAGUUAGAACUAAGUCUGAGGCUCUGGGGAGAUCCCCGCAGCUGGACAUCCAGCCGAUAGGGACUUUACAGAACUCCUACUGGAAUACCUGAUCGUGGGGGAAUACCAGGGAUGACAGGGCUGUCACUACCCUGCCACCUACCCCUCUACCCGAAAGAUACCCGCGCAUCCGCUGAUUUCCGCAUACCCGAGCACCUCGCCCGUGUAAUUGCAAACACCUCCUAGCCUCCCGGGACCCCAACCCUUUGGAUUGACACGCUCGGCUAAGAGUGGCCAUCACAGCCCAACGAACCGUUACCCCAAUUUUAAUCCUUUGUCUAUUCAUACUAAUUCGAUGAACGAUGAAGAACAAGGAUGAACACAUCAAGAACAUAGCACAAGAAGUAAGAACUAGUUCAUAUACUAUGAACAAGAUAUGAACACAACUAUACUCUAAUUCAAUUGGAUAAUCAUAUAAAUAAGAUAAAAACUUACUCAUGGAGGAGAACUGAAUUGUAUUCAUACCAAGAAGUUCUAAGAUCCUCCAAGGAGACAAGCUUUCCUUGCUAGCUUUGCCUUGCUCUACUACUGAAUCUAUACUAAAGAACAAGUGUAGAAAUGUGAGGUGUAUUGCUCCAAAUGAUGGUGUGUGUGUUGAAUGGUGUGGAGCCAUCUAUUUAUAGCCCAACAAGGACGGUUCAUGGCGAUCUAAAUUUGGUAGGAGGUGAAACCGUCCUAUGCAUGCCACCAUGCAACCGCUUGAAAAAGGUGGGACCGAGUUGCCGCCACGGGGGGUGCGCCCGCACCAGGGUGCGGCCGCACCACUGGUGGCCCCCCUGGCCACCGCCUUCGCGUGGUCGGUUCGUCUCUAGGCCCUGAUCCUUCCCGUGGUUACGGAUGGAUCCAGUUCGGUGUUUUGGUGGGAUUUUCCAUUUAUCUUUGAUUUGUGCCUUUUCUGAAUACGCUUUCUUGAAGUGCGCUUUCUCGUGUCUUUUGCGCCUUUCCACGUGUCAUACCUGAAAUUGAUAUUUACAACAAAACUUGUGGAAAGGUUAGUUCAAAGCCCUACCAUCUAUUUAUUUUAUUUAUUAAAAUGAUGUUUAUAAUUAUAAGAUAAGGGGUACCAACAACUCCCCCACACUUGGUCCUUUGCUCGUCCUCGAGUGAAGGCACUAAAGACCAAAUGGGUUCAUCUUCCUUGUCAAAAGAAUCUGCAUACAGGUUAUUCACAGCUUCACCUGGAUUUAUGAACUUCAAAGUGUCUACCAAGUUGGGUAAUUGAAACAUGGAACAACCUGGAUUAAAAUCCUCUUACAUAGUCCCUGCGCAGAAACUUGGGGUUUUGCAAGAUUUUGAAAAAUAAAGAUAGCAUAUGUUUCUUGAAUGAUGCUCUCAAGUCCCUCCUAAUAUGUGAGUGGUUCCUUACCAAGGCAUAAAGAGUUGAUGCCUUCUUUUUGAUCAUCCUACUUCUAAAAGGCUUAUCUAGAGUUUUGGGUAGGUAUGAUGGUGGAACUUACUUACUCUGCAUAUGUUGUCGAGUCAAACCCAGAACCAUACCGGAGGGAGUGCGCCAUACCCUUAGAUCAGAAUGUGCAAGUGUGUGGAAUUUUUGGUGGAAUCCUAUCACUACUUUUAUUGCAACAUUCCUUGCAUCAAGACUCUCUUUUGAAAUGAGAUGAAAAACUUGAGAGGAUAUGGGCCAUAACACAAUUUUUUUAUUUGUAUUUUGGCUUUUUCUCAUAAUAAUUAUAUAUAUAUAGCCCAUUCCUAUGAUUUUGAUGAAAACAAAGGAGAGCUUUAUGAUAACAAAUGCAAGGAAUGUAUAUGAAUGCACAAUUCUUAGGGUGAGAUAUUGGCAUUUUUAUUUUGUGGAUAUAUGUGCACAACCCUCAGUGUAAGAGUUGGUGAAAUUUUGGGUGGAUGGAGAAAACAUGUUGUGCACGACUUCUCAGUGUGAGAGUCGGCUUUGCUGUAACACCCCAGUGUUAUGGUUGCAUCAUUCACAUGCAUAACAUGAGCAUCAUCAUCUUCAUAAGCAUAUCAUGAUCAUCAUUUACCUUGGGUCAUGUCAUUUUAUGCAAAAGUAUGGUUUCACUUGCUUAAAUAUGCUUUCUAUGCUUAUGUUUGCUUGUACCAUGCUCAUGUUUGUGUUCUAUGCUUUGGUAAUUAGUUCAUCUAUGCUUAACUCAACUUUUGGAGCAAUGUUCAUGUUGGUCACAUCUCCAAAUUAAGUACCUAAGUCAUACUUUCACUUAUAGGACCUAAAAACCUUUUUUGCUUAGGCUUUUAAAAAGUACUUCAUAAAAUGUUUGCAUGUCAAAACUUCCUAAAGCAAAGUUGUAGCAAAUUUUAUAAGGAACAAAAGCUGUUUCAUGGCCUUUUCAUGAAAAUGUGCAGAGCAAGCUCAAAAGUGUCCCACAAGGCAGAUUUGGGGCUGUUUCCAACACUUAGAAAUUUUUCUAAGUGUGGGAUCUAACCAGUUUGCUCGAGGGUGGUUUGGAUAGCUUCUAGUUUGAAAUCCAGGCUGAAUCAAGUCUUGAUCUUGUAAUAAAAGUUGGAGUCCUCAUGUAGCUCUACAGCAUGGAGCAAUUAGCUAGCAAAACCAUCGAUCAGAUUAGGAGAUAAUCAAAGCCAAAUAUCGAGUUUCAGUUGGUAUCCGUAACUGAUUGGAGGUAGCGUCAGUGGGGAGGAGCUCGCCGGUGACGCCGCGUGUUCGGACCCGUGGCGUCCGUACAUCGCCGUUGGCCUCACUUGUCAGCUCCCAGCACGUCCUCCAGGUCGCCACGACGCCCCCGGUCGCGUGGACAGCGCCAUUCUCCCCCUGGCUCUCUCUCUCUCUCGUGCUCGUCGUCUUCUCCGCGCGUCCGCCGCUGCUUCGGCGAGCUCGCGCGCUCGCGUCUCGGCAUCUCUGGCCGAGCAACUCCACCCAGUGCUCCGCCAGCUUCCCCGCGUCACCAUCGUCAUGUUGGCUGCGGCUGCCGAGCUUUGGUAAGCCCGCAUUGCCCUCUCCGUCGCGAGCUCACCUCGCCGGAGCUCCGCCGUGGUCACCGGUAUCGUGGCCAGGGCCCACCAUUUCUUCUCGUUCUUGUUCCAAAAGCUCUGCCUUGUCAUGCUGGUGCUUGUCAGGAUCUUCUUUCGCCCUGUCUCCGACCAGAGACGCCAGCGGUCGGCCGCACACCAUCGCCGUGCCGCCAUUCGCGAGGGCAAGGUCCUUAGGGUGCGGUAGAGUUAGGGUUUCUAGUACCAGUCGUCGCGCAAGAGAGUGAGGAGCACGAUGGUGCCCUUGGCCGUCGCCGAGACCUCGCCGUCGACGAGAUUUCCGGCGGUCAAGCCUCGUCUCUAUUCUCGGGUCACUGACGGGUGGGGUCCGUUGACCUGUGGGGUCCCCCUGUCAGUCUCUCUCUCUCCUUAGUUUGAAUUUAGGGUUUGUGCUGUUUUUGGAAAAUUCAUAUCUGGAGUUUGAAAAAUCCUCUUGAGGUGAUCCAAAUUUUGUUGAGUUCCUCAGAUGGUCUAGUUUUUAAUAAAAAUAUAAUAUGCACCAUGUUUUCUGUGAAAAAUAAUUGUUAUGAAUUAAUCUUGUUAUUUAUGUGUAAAUUCAUAUCUUUUGAUAUACUGCUCCAAUUGCUGUGAAAUUUUUAUGCUAUGCUCCGAGUAGUAUGAGAAUGCUCUGAUAAAUAUUUCAUGAUUUUUAGAGUGCUGUAUCUCUGAUAUGUAAUUUAUGUUGGUACUAUGGCUUGAUUUCAUAUUUAAAUCAUAAUAAAUGUUUGAUGCUUAUGCUGGUGUUCUCUUUUGGUGUCAAGCUUGUUUGUAGUAAUAGUAACAUGUAAAUAAUCUGAAAUCUGUUGCUUGACACUAUAUAAGCCAUGUUUCUUAAUUUAUGAAAUAAGCACCUUGUUACAUGUUAAUUACUUAUCUCAAGUUUGCCAUGUGCAAUUGCUCUGAAAAUUUUAUGGUAAUGUCCAAAUACCAUGCUUGUGCUUCAGUAAUGUUUGUAGAUUUUUCUGAGCACUCUUGUUGGUAUCUUGUAAUUAUGUCCUUUUAUGGAAUUAAAUUAAUAAAUGCCUUGUUAUUGCAUGUCAACAUGUGACAUUCUGAUAAUCUUAAGUUAUGCUGGUGCUUAUAAGCCACUUGGUUGACACUAAAUAUGUUUUUGCUAUGUCAUCAAAUAAUUAAUUAAGGGUUUAUAGCUGUUCUGGACAGCAAGGGAGUAAUCUGACCAUUGCUUGGUGAUAAUUUGGUUUUCUGAAAAUCUUGUCUAAAUCAAAGAUGUUGUAAACUUUGUGAGCUACCUGCAGUUUAAAUUUGGGAUCAUUUAGUCCAAUAGUUUAAAAGUUAUGGCUCUUCCAAGUUGGGUUCCAGAACUAGGUGCUCUCUGUUUUCUGGGACAGAACCUGGAACUUUGUUUAAUUGACCAAUUUAACUUGUGAAUCUUGCUAUGAUAUCUAAAGAUGAAAUAUAAAAUAUUUCAUAAGCUUUCCAGAAUGUCCUCAUUCAUGUUUGUUGGAUCUGUAUAGCUUUAAUUAUGAUUAGUUCUUUGAGCUGCCCUGUCUUUUAGUUGUUUCUGUUUAAUGAGUUAACUUGGUGAGUCUUGCUAAGUUAGUUAGUCAUCUUUUGUGAGCUUGUAAUGGGAGUCACUCCGUAAAUGAGUGUCCAGUGAAGUUCUAAUUAUGUUACCAAGCAUUCAUCCUCAUCUAGUAUGCACACAUUUCUUACUCAUCAUGCAUGCAAUAGGUGCACCGGAAGUGGCAACAUCGUUCGAGCUCGACCGGGGGAUCCACGAAGGCUCGGAGAUCACUCAGGAAGCGGAGGUCCAGCCAGCCGGACAAGAGGAGCCCGAAGAGGAGGUCGAGUGCCCUAAUCACGAGCCAGCUUCGUUCGUGAAAGGCAAGCCCCGGAGCAUCUUAAGUCUCCCACUUUAAUUUCAAAAACAUACUUGAUUAUGUUAUAUCUAUUGAUGCAUUACGUAUAGGAGUUGUGAUGAAACCCUUGCUGCAUUAUACCCUUUCCUUGUCCAGAUAUCUUACCACUACCUGGUCAUAGAGUUAGGAUCGAGUAGCAGCUUAGUCAUGCUUUAAUCGGUAGAAGUCGGGUGAUAUCCUGUCACCUACGCGAGAUAGAGUUGUGUCGGAUCAUGAUUGACUAUAUGUGCUAUCGUGGGAAAGAACCUGAUUAAAAUGACUCAAGAUGGGCGGAGUUUUGCAAGGUUGUAGUAACUCCAUCUGUGGCAGUUAAGGACUGAUCGUUGUACGUCCUCUUGUCAUGUUGAACGCAUACCUGACACUUAGUUGGCCGGAUAACUCGUUCCGACCGCGAAGCCUAGUAGUAUGACUCAGGCCGGAAGACCGGCAAGUAUAAAGUGCGCACUACCGGAGGAAGUGCGGUGUGCGGGGGACCAUUGGCGUAAGACCAAAGGCAGAUGAGUUAAAAGUCCUGACCUCCCUGGCAGAGUGAUAGCCCUGGGAGUGCGGCGCUGAUCGGAGCCACGAUUCCUGAGUCGUACCAAAGGUGACCCGUUUGCUCUCCGACGAGGGAUGCUUGGGUGAGUGCUAGGAAUAACCCUCUAGCUGAUAGGAAUCGAUUCGAAUCGCCAUUUCUCCCGGAUAGUGAGAACUUGACAGAGCAGCGGCAAACGUAGCAUUCACUAAGUACAAUGGUUCUUGAUAAUGAUGUUGAUGAUAGCAAGGAAGAACAUAUGAUGAACUUGAUAUGGUUAUUAUUGUUUGUAAUAAAUAAGUGAAGUGUUUAGUCUAGGUGCUAAUCUAGUGGUAGGCUAAUGAUGAUUAAUAUGAUGCUUUUACAAAUGGUGUAGUAUCCACUUAAGCUUUUGGCAAAUGUUGAGUCAAGCCAGCUACACUUUGUACUCAGCCUUGCAUGAUCCUUGGUGUCUUUAUGUUUGACUAGACGGGUAAGUCUAGCUGAGUACAUCCUCGUACUUAGGGUUUAUUCCCACCUGUUGCAGAUGAUGUCUUUUAUGAUGGCUUCUGCAAGACCUGUUUCCAUCCCGCUGGGGAUGAGGACUAAACCGUUGGGCACGGUCCUCUAACGACUUCGUACCUUGAUGCUUUUGGUGGAUGAGAUGAGACUCUUGCAGUAACAAGAACUUAUGAAAUGGGCGUGUGUAAACUAUUUUGCUUCCGCUACUCCAAAACUUGUGUUGUAAUAACUAAGUAACUCCGAUGUGGUGCCGCUUCGUCGGCAAUGAAUGACUAUGUAACAUCCGUUGUAUUAUGUUGAACUAUUACGAUCUUGGUUUGUUGCAAGUUGGUUUGAAGUUCUUCGUGAUUUUAGUUUACUACCGGGAUUAUAUGGGAUCAAGUCUCGAAACUUGAUUGCUAGUUGAUCGUUUCUACACUUGAACUCUUAUAAUUUGGUCGGUUCUGUGACAUUUUAUAUGGUGGGUGCAAGUGAAUUCUGAUUUUAGAGGCAUGAAACAUCUUUGGACAGCGGUCCAAAAAUUUGACCAAACUCAACACAGAGCAAGCAGCAUAUGUAGAAGGUUUAAUCAUGAACAAAUAUUUGGCCAUGGUAGGAAUAAAGCUUGAUUAUUCAAGAAACUUGCUAUUGAAUUUUGCUUUUUAUAAAAGAAAACCCAACUACUUUGCAAGAACCAGCAAGCAUCAUGUCAUCCUACUAUAUCACAUACAUCAAUUACUUAGAUAAAAUGGGGUCCCUAUAACAAGUGUUCAUAAAUCUCUAGGGAUAUUAGCUAAGAAUAAGAAGUAUGCAAAAACAUAUUUGAACAUAGGAGACAUGUUCGAUGGAGUAUGAAGGUAACAUCUUUUUAAACAUUUCAUUUGAAAAUCUUUUUGGGGAAGAGGGUUUUCACAAACCGAGAUUUUUAAUUGAAUAGUCCUUCCCCCACACUUGUUUUCUUUCCUGUCAUGGUUAGUCACAAUAUAUAUAGAAAACAAGUGCACAAGAUAAACAAACUUUUUUUUAUUGAUAACUUUGAAUAGGCACAUUACAUUGGACGGGAAAAAAUAUUUGAAACAUAAAUAUUGUGAAAAGGAAAAAUGUGCCUAAACAAAGAUUCGUGUAGGAGGUGUGGUCUAAAGAUCUUCAACAAGGCGACCAACACCUAAGGCUUCAGCGACCUUUCUAAGUUUAGUAUUAAACUUGAAGCAAAACCUAUUAACAUCAUCACUGAGGUUCCUAAUCUCAGUGUUCUUUUCCUCUAGGUCGUCUUCUAAAACCCGUAACUCAGCACGUAGGCUAGCCUGCUUAGCUAAAAGCUUGGCGAUGAUAUUGGGAUCAUCUUCUUCAUCGCUGCUCUCGUACUGUCCUGCACGACGCUUGAUUGACGGUUGUGGCAAGUGCCUCCUGAUCCUAGGGAGAGUACUGGACGAUUCCGUCUUCUUGGCCUUGCCACCCAUCUUGCUACCAGCAUGAUUGCCUUGCCUAUCACCACUAGGGGCUUUUCUCUUAAGUCCUAUGUUGCUAGUGGAUGAACGGGCAGUAGCAGGUAUGUUGGCGGCGCUAUUGGUGGGCGCUUUGUGGUUUGCUAGUAACAACGCUAACAACUUUCUCUUCUCAACAUGGACCUCCUUGCUAGAACUCUCUUGGUAAGGUGCUAUGUCUAGAUUGGCUAUGGUCUUGGGAGCAUUGAUCAGCGAGAGGGCAUAGCUAGACAUGGUCACUACUGAAGAAUGAGAUAGCUUAGCAAUCUUCACAAGAGAAAGAUGAGAAAUGGUUGGUGUGAGAAGAGAAGAGGCCUAUGGAAGAUUUUAUAGGUGCUAACGCAGUCUCUGAUCUGGAAACAACUUCAUCGUAACCAUGGACAUGAUGCUAAUCAGUGCAAAAGAGGAAGGGAAAAAGAUUGGGGCCGAUUGGCGGACCUGGGGGUGCGCCCGCACCACUGGGUCCACCAGUCGGCCUCAGUCUUUCGAGUAUUUCUUUCCCUCUCUGAGUAUUUCACAAUACUGGUUACGAUCAAUCAUGAUGCGCACUGGAAUCAGAGUGAUAGUGUGUGGGAUAGAGUUUUGAAUUUUGAAAACUUUCUAAAAGGUAUCACACUAUCAUGGAUUUAUGAGUGAUUGAUACCCAUGAUCACAAAGAUUCAAAAAUGAAGAAAAGAUCAUAGGGGCAAUAUGGACUACUCAUAAAUACAACAAAUGCACCAUUUAUUCAAAACAUAAAUAGAAAGAAUCUAUUCAAAAUAAAUAAAUAAGUCAAAAGAAAAUAUAUAUUUAUAUAUUUUUUUAUAAGUAAAAACUUACCUAGGGAUAACUUACCGAUUUACCUUCGGCAAGGGCUCAUCUUUAUACUCCGUUGAGCGGGACUCUUCUUCCAUUACUUCUUGCUUGAUGAUGGCACAUCCAUCUUGGGAGGAGUAGACGGUUGCACCUGCUUGGGCCUCCACUUUAGCAGUAUCACCUUUGGAGGUGUUGAAGUUUGUUCAACCUUCUGCUUUGGUUUCCACACCUGCUUCGGUUGUGAAGGCUUGGGGACUUCGUCCCUCUUUUCAUUCAUUUUAGGAGCUAUUUUCUUUUUCUGCUCCUUAUUAUUUUUCUUAGGAGCCACCUUUUCUUUUGGCUUUGGCUUUUUCUUAGAUAUUUUUGUAUUUUUAAUGAGUUGAGGCUGGAUCUCAACCAACCUGAUGCCUUGGGGGUUUGGCCCAUAGAGGAUGCGUAUCAUAUUGCACUCUUGUUGAUGGCGUGGCCUGAACUCGAACUUCUCUUCUUAGCCAUUAAUGUUGAAGCGGAUUUCUCCAGCCCCAACGUCAAUCUGUGCUCCAGCUGUACUCAAGAAUGGUCUUCCCAGGAUUAGUGGUGUUUCUUUAGUGAGCUCCAUGUUGAGCACCACAAAAUCCACUGGAACAUAGUAUCCUCUGAUCUUGACAGGGAUGUCUUGAGCAAUCCCUGCCAGGUAUCGGACUGACGAGUCUGCUAACUGGAGUGUCAUGGUGGUUGGCUCCAAGUUGGUGAAGUUCAUCCUAUCAUAGACUGAUUUCGGCAUGACGCUCACACUCGCCCCCAAAUCACAUAGGGCGUGGUCGAAUUGUUGGGCCCUAAUUGAGUAAGAGAUUGUGGGGCACCCAGGAUCCUGCUUCUUCUCGGGCAGCUCAUUGAGUAUAGCUGCGCUACAUUCUUCUGUCAGCUUGACAACUUCAGUGGACGGCAAUGGUCGCUUCUUGUUGAUGAUGUCCUUGAUGAACUUGGAGUAGGACGGAAUAUGCAAGACAUCCAUCAACGGUACACUGACGUGUGUCUUUUCGACCAUUUCCGCGAAGCGGAGGAACUGUUCAUCUCCGUCCUUCUUCUUCCUCCUUUCUCUUGUGGGAAAGGGUAGCAUCGUGGUGUCCCCUGUUGACGGUCCUUAAGUGUAACACCCCAGUGUUAUGGUUGCAUCAAUCACAUGCAUAACAUGAGCAUUAUCAUCUACUCAAGCAUAUCAUGAUCAUCAUCUACCUUGAGCCAUGUCAUUUUAUGCUUAAGUGUGCUCUAACUUGUUUAAUCAUACUUCCUAUGCUUAUGUUUGUGAGAACCAUGCUCAUGCUUAUGUGUUAAGCCUUGGUAAUUAGCUUAUCUAUGCUUAACUCAACCUUAGGAAUAAUGUUCAUGUUGAUCACUUCUCCAAAAUAAUCACUUAAGUCAUACUUCUUUGUAUAAGCCCUAGCAACCUCUUUUUUAGGCUUUUAAAAAGUGUUUCGUAAAAUGUUUGCAUAUCAAAACUUUCGACAUCAAAGUUGUAGAAAAUUUUAUAAGGAACAAAAGUUGUUUUAUGGCCAUCUCAUGAAAAUGAUCACAACUAGCUUAAAAGUGACCCACAAGGUAGAUUUGGGGCUGUUUCCAACACUUAGAAAUUUUUUCUAAGUCCAGGGAUGCAGCAGUUUGCUUGAUCGAUUUUGAAAACUUCAUAUCUCUCAAUCCAGGCCGAUCUGGCUCUUGCUCCAGUUGACAAUGUUGUAGAACUCAGCUAGUACUCCAACUUUGUUAACUACACCGUCUCGUAACUUGCUCCGGUUUGGGAGUUAAUCAUCGUCAAAGUCGCUCUAUCAGACAGUCAUCACAUUAACUGAAUCGAGGCCGAGCUCGUCGACGUGGCCGACCGGCGGCAGAGCUCCGUCGACAUUUGGCAUCCGUACAUCGCUCCUGGGCCCGCUCGUCAGCUCCCAGCGCGCGCAUGACCUCCACAGCGACACCUCGGGCGAAGUGGACGCGUUCAUUCCUUUCUGCCUCGCCCUCUCUCGCCAGAAACGCGGCCGCAGCGAGCUCACCGUCGCGAGCUCACUCCGGCGAGCUCGUACGCGCUCCUCGCUGCGCUGCUGUCCACCAAACCUCGCUCACAGCUCCGCCGUGAACCGCUCUCCACCUUCCACCCGCUAACUCGCCGUGAAACCCACCGGUGAGCCGCCAUUUCCAACUUCCCCUAAAUCGGGUCGCCGUGACCUUCUUCUUCGGCGAACUCAAUGCCGAGCUCCUCGGAGCCUCUCGUCUUGUCUGGUUAGGUCCUAGAUGUAGCUUAGGUCCUUAGCGAAUGUUUGCGCCACUUGGUGGACGCUCUACCGCGCUCACCGUCGCCGGACACGACGUGCAGCGCCGCCGUGUUUCCGCCGGAGUUGGGCUCUCUCGUGGCCAACUCUUUCCACCCCGUCUCAAGCCAAGUCGCCUACCUAGGAAGCUUCGCCGUAGUCCGCUGGUGCUCUAGGAAACCCUAGGUCGCGCUCUACCGGCCUGAGAGCUCCGACGUAACGCCGAGCACCUCUGCCGAGCCGCCAUGGUCGACGGCAAGCCAUUUCCGGUGGCUCCGCCGCGGGGAAAAGGGGGUCAAUCGAGUCGCAAGGGUCUGACGGUCACGUUGGUACCCUUGAUUUGGCCGGGAACCUCGCCGUCGCAGAGAAAUCGCCGGCGAGAGUCGCCUCGGCCGUGAGGAAGACGACCCUGACAGGCGGGACCCGCUGUCAUUGUCACCUCGUUUCCCUCCUUUUCUUUUAUUCAAAUCCAGGUUUCUGGCUUUCUUGCAAAAAUCAUAUCUCCUGUUUCUUAGAUCCAAAAAUUGUGAAACCAAUUUUAUGAGAUUCUUUGAGAUGUCUAUUGUUUUGUAAAAAUAUAAAAUGAACCAUGUUUUCUGGGAAAAAUAAUUAUUAGGAUUUAAUCUUGUUAUUCAGGAGUAAAUUCAUAUCUUUUGUUUUACUGCUCCUUUUGCCAUGAAAUUUUUAUGGUAGUCUCUGUGUGGUAUUAGAAUGCUAUAAUAAAUAUUGCAUGAUUUUUGGAGUACUGCAUCUGUGGUAUGUAAUUUGUGAUUGAGAUAUGGCUUGUUUUCUUAUUAAAAUCAUAGUAAUUAAUUGAUGCUUGUGCUGGUGCUCUACUUUGGUGUCACCCUUCUUUAUGGUAAUAGUAGUAUGUAAAUAAUCUGAAAUCUGUUGUUUGACACCAUAUAAGCCAUGUUUCUGAAUUUAUGAAAUAAACACCUUGUCACAUGUUAAAUGCUUAUCUUAAUUUUGGCAUGUGCAAUUGCUCUGAAAAUUUUAUGGUAAUGUAUAGAUGCUAUGCUGGUGCUUCUGUAAUUUUUGUAGAGUUUUCUGAGCACUUUUGCUAGUAUCUUGUAAUUAUGUCCUUUUAUAGAAGUAAAUUGAUAAAUGCCUUGUUAUUAAAUAUCUAGGGGUUAACAUAUGAUGUUCUGGUUAUCUUAUGAUAUAUUUGUGCUUAUGAGCUAAUUGGUUGACACUGUUUAUGCUUUGACUAUGUCAUCACAUAAUUAAUUAAAGGGUUAAGAGCUGUUCUGGACAGCAAGGGAGUAAUCUAACUUUUGCUUAAUGAUAACUUGGUUUUCUAGAAGACUUGUCUAAAUCAAAGUUGUUGUAAACUUUAUGAACUAGUUGUGGUUUAAUUUUGGGAUCAAUUGGUCCAAUGGCUUAAAAGUUAUAGCUAUUCCAAGUUGGGUUCCAGAAAUAGGUGCUUUCUGUUUUCUGGGACAGAACCUGGAACAUUGUUUAAAUGACUUGUUUAAUUUAUGAAUCUUGCUGUGAUGUUUAAAGAUGAAUUGUAGGCAAUUUCAUAAGAUUUCCAGAAUGUCCUCAUUUAUGUUUGUUGGAUCCUUACAGCAAUAGUUAUGACCUGUUUAUUGAGCUGUUCUGUUAUAUGAUGCUUGCUGUUUUUGGAUUGACUUGCUAAGUUUUGCUAAGUUAUUUAGUUACCCUUUUGUAAGUUUAUCUUAGAAGUUUACUCAGUAGAUGAGUGUCCAGUGAAGUUCUAAUUGCAUCAUCAAGCAUUCGUUCCCUUCUAGUAUGCACCCAUUCUUACUUAUCAUACAUGCAAUAUGUGCACCGGACGCAACAGCUUCGUUCGAGCUCCAGGUGAACCCCGAAGGCCAGGAGGGCAACCCGGAGGUGGAGGCCCAGCAAGCCGGACACGAGGAGCCCGAAGAAGAGGUUGAGUGCCCUAACCACGAGCCAGCCUCGUUCGUGAAAGGCAAGCCCCGGAGCAUCUUAAGCCUCCUACUUUAAUUUCGAAAGCUUAUUUGAUUAUGUCAUAUCUAUUGAUGCAUUUACGUAUAGGAGUUGUGAUGAAACCCUUGCUGCAUGUUACUCAAUCCUUGUCCAGAUAUCUUACCACUACCUGGUUAUAGAGUUAGGAUCGAGUAGCAGCUUAGCCAUGGUUUAAUCGGUAGAAGUCGGGUGAUAUCCUGUCACCUGCGCGAGAUAGGGUUGUGUCGGAUCACGAUUGACUAUAUGUGCUAUCAUGGAUGGAACCUGAUUAAAUUGAUUUAAGCCGGGCGGAGUUUUGUAAGGUUGUAGUAACUCCAUCUGUGGUAGCUAAGGACCGACCAUUGUACGUCCUCUUGUCAUGUUGAACGCAUGCCUAACACUUAGUUGGCCGGAUAACUCGUUCUGACCGCGAAGCCUAGUAGUAUGACUCAGGCCGGAAGACCGGCAAGUAUAAAGUGCACACUACCGGAGGAAGUGCGGUGCGCGGGGGACCAUUGGCGUAAGACCAAAGGCAGGUGAGUUAAAAUUCCUGACCCUCUGGCAGAGUGGUAGCCCUGGGAGUGCGGCGCUGAUCGGAGCCGCGAUUUCUGAGUCGUACCAAAGGUGACCCGCUGGCUCUCCGACGGGGGAUGCUUGCGUGAGUGCUAGGAAUAACCCUCCAGCUGGAUAGGAAUCGAUUCGAAUCGCCGUCUCUCCCGGAUAGUGAGUGUUGAUAUUUGGGAACGCAAUAAGGAAUUGAUCCGCAAGCGCACGGAUAUCGGUGAGCACUUCACCCGGGAAAUUAUCCAGAGUAUCGUAUUUAUUUUUUUACCACUAGGAGAAAGAGUGCAUCUGACUAACCGGUCUAUUACUACUAACCUUUAGGCACAAAGAAUGUCUUUCGAUGUGAGUGAUAAAUAGAGAAGACUGCAACCGUAGUCUCCUUCUAACCUUGGUAAGGAUGAUCUACUGUUCUAAUGGGGAGGCUAACGGAAUCUAGACACCACAAAGGAUGUUCGACCCGCACCUAUAAACCCUAUCCUUCUUGCUAACGAGAUGUGAUCUACAAAGGUAGCUCGGAAUUGUCACGUUCCUCACUACUACCACGGUCCAGCUAGUCAGGGAAUAUCUAUGAGUACCCCAGCCUAAACACCACGUUUACGCCAGCAAUGAUUACUCUAAACUCUACGCGAAGAGAUUAAAGUAAACUCAUAAACCAUAAGAACAAUAAAACAAGAACUUACUAGAAUUUAGAAGUCGAAUUACUGAAGAAUCCUAGGAGCAAGCUUCGGGUUAGGAGAACUUGAUCUCGCAGGUACAAGCUUGGAGUAGACACCGACAGGCCGGGCUUCCUCCACUCUACACCUCCACUCUAUCUCUCUCAAUCUAGUAGAAACUAGAAGAUCUAUUUCUACCUUACAUUGAUUGCUAAGCCUAAAAGGAAAUAUUAAUUAGAGAAGAGGUUUUCCUUCGAGGGCACCCCUCAGUCUCUAUGAUAAUUUCUUCAUGUCUUCUCCAGGGGCCAGGGGGGCCUUGCUUAUAUAGUCCUCCCCUUCUAUGCGUUUCUGGGUCGAUAGCCGAGGUGGUACUAUGUUUUUCUUGAUCCAAUAGGUCGGUGGAAUAUCCCGAACGAAAGAGUCCUGAUUUGGCUCCAACAGGGGGGCGGGCGCCCAGGAUACCAGGGCGGGCGCCCUGGGCCUGGCCUAGUUUUGCCUCCGCUUCGGUCUCGUGGCUUCUGGAGUCUUCUAGAUGAUGUAAAAUUGCGCGGUGCGUUGAUAUCUCUAUGUAAUCCCGACAUGUAGGCCUUUCUUCCUUAUUUCCUGAUAACCCCCUGCAGAAACAGAUAAACAACAAAACUCGUGGAAUUCUGUUAGAUCAAACCCUAAUUCUAGGUGUUGUUUGCAUAUUGGUCCUUUCUCUAGUUUAUUUGAUAAUUAAAAUUGAUACUUAAGAACUGUCAACAAAUACCCCCAUACUUAGGCUUUUACUCGUCCUCGAGAAAAGGAUGGUUAAGAAAAAUAUCUGGGGUAAAACAUUUAAAACAUUCUCUUUAUAUAAUUGCAGGGUGUUAAAAUUCCACUGUGUACCAUAGUCAGGGAUGUUUAUGGUUAAGAGUAAAGAUCCUUUCUUCUCAAUCCUGUCACUUGGAGUUUUUGUUAUAUUUUUGAAAGAAAGUUAGCAUACCUUUUUAUCCUCAUUGGUUCUCUCAGAUCACUCAUUAUCUUUUAUAUAUAUAUCUCACUGAGGUUGUUUUAUUUUUGCAAAAAUUCUCAAGCAUUCUUACUUUGCAUUUAUUGCCUGAUCAAAACGGGAUCCGAGGAGGGGAAUGUCAUACUCUUAGAUCAAAGACUUUGGAAAUUAAAAUCUUUGUCAACUCUUGCUGGCAUAUUGCUUAUUAGAGGGACCAUGGGCUAUCAUUUUCAUUUCAUCAUUUUUUUAAGUGGAUACCGAGGUACCCCUAAUUCUACUGCCGGACACUUGUCCAUUUUUUCUGCGAGGUUGUCGAGCACUUGCUCCUUUUUAUUUCCUCGAAAUAUUUUUAUUUUUGCAUAGCCCAUGCCUCUAAUGCAAUAAUACUUCGGAAGAGUGAAUCUUUCUGAAAUAAUGUCUUGAUCUUAGGAGCAUGAUAAAUCUCUCAACAAGGGUCUAACUCAUUUUGAACAAACUCAAUACAGAGUAGAUAGCUUUAUAAUCAUCAUUAAUAUUUUUAUUUUUAUCAGGCAUAUAAAACACUGAGGAUGGUAGCUAGAAUUUUGAAUAUUUUGAAAUAAAUUCUCCAAGCAACAAUGAUAUCAAGAAUAAGAAACUCAUACUCUACCAUCACAUAUUCCAUAUUGACUUGAGUAACACAGGGUUUUAAAAUGAUUUUAUAAUAAUUGUAAGUUUUCAGGAAAUAUCACAGAUUGAGAUUAAUCAUGAUUAGAAAUAUUUUAAUCUUUUUAUUUUAUCAUGUCAGAAACAGUAAUCUGCAUAAUCCAAAAUAAACGUAUGUAUGAAGUAAAGUGUGCAGAGUGUGUACCUGAACCGUGGAGUGGUGUAGUCGGAGUGUGUUUGGCAUGUUAAGGGAUCUCCCCCAUACUUGUUUUCUGCUUUCUUGCACAAAAAUAAAGUAGAGACACACAAGACAUAAUAAUAAUAGUAAUACUCUUUAUUGAUCUUGAGGCAUUUAGUACAAAAGACUGAUAACAAACUGAUA